GAUUUCUCCUUGCAUUAGCUUUGACCCAUGUAGAAUUAGCUUCUCUAAGGAGCAUAAACCUGACAAAGAAAGCAAUUGGCAACAUGUUGAAUUUAAGCCACAAGCACGGAGAUGCUUCAAGCUUUGCAGCCUCCCCAGGUUUUGUGGCAAUUUGUGGAGUUUUGAACAGUAACCGACAUCGAGAACUUCAAGAAAGCAUAAAUCACAAAUGCUUUCUGGAAGAGUCACAAGGUUUUUGCAGCCGUUCAGAUUCAAAACUUCAAGCCUAUUCAAAUGUUUGAUUGAUGAUGGGAGCUCUUUUAUAGCCGUUUUGUUCAAAUGAAGCACCCUUAAGUUUUCCAUAUUCUCCAAGAUUUCUGGAAAGUACUGUAAUUGUGAACAGUGAGAGCAAAAGAGAGAUUUUAGGGAUUUGAACUCCCAAAUGCUUGUUGGCAGACUCUCAAGGUUUUUGCACUCUCGCAAACAUAAGGUAUCAAAUUCAGAGGCACGCUCAAUGGGUAGUAGGCUUAUUGUCUGACCCUUUAAACAAAGCUUUCGGUGUUCCACGUUCCUCUGACAUUCCAAGCAGCUAGCAUCCACAUCCCCAGUCUGUACUAUUGGAUCUUGGGCGUAUAUAGGUUGGAGCCCACACUUAAGCACCUUAAAAUGAUUGCCAGAGUCCUUAAAUAGAGCCCCAAGAAACAUGAAUGGAUUGGUGUGACAGCUCUCCAGAAUAGCAGCCUUGGGAUAGAAUAUCACCCACAUUUGUUCUGAUACACCUCCAUCGUGGUAGCAUUUACAAGUAGUGCGAAAACUGAGAUGUCGCACACACAUGGAAGAAAAUUUAUUUCUAUCAUACAAUGACAAUUGACAUUCUAACUCAGUGGAGAUUGAAGAUUCAGCUUCAAGUAAAUCAUCAGAUUCAUUCAGGGCUUCGUCGCCAGAUUCAUUCUCCGAUGCAUGUGCAAAAUCAUUUUCACAUUCAUCGAGUGGAGCAUAAACGAAGCAUAUAGCAAUUCCCAAGAAGUCAUCAUUUUCAUAACAAUUCUGAGGAAGCUCUAUUGUGAUGUGAUGUCUUUCUCUCUGAUUCCUUAUCCAUUUGGGAAUUCCAUUGCUUCCCGGAACAACAAUACAGACUCCAUCGCCAAUGUAGUUGGAAUUAGCGAGAAAUACUCCAUUUGAACUCUUCUUGUGUUUCAAAUCCUGCACAAAUGGACAAUGUAAAUCUAGUGAGUCUGUGUCAUUAUGUGAGUUUUUAUGAGAGAGUUUGUUAUCAAUUUUCGAUAAAUUGAUUCCCAGUUUUAACUUUCUUUGAUCUAUGCUCCUGAAUCUACUUAAUAUCCCUUUUAGAUGACGGAUAUGUUAGAAUUCAUGAGAGUUUGUCUUUGAAAAUGUCUUAGUUAGACUCAGUCUCUGUUUUGCUCCAUAAUUUUCAGUUUUUCUGUUAGUAGAAGUAGUUAUAGCAGCUGAGAGUUUUUAGCAUUUUCAGUUUGGUUGUAAGCCUAUAAAUAGGCAUUCUCAUUGGUGAAAUAUUGUCUCUUUCUCCAACUCAAUACUCUAAUAUUUUCUGCAAGUUUUAGUUCCUUAUUUUUCUCUAGAUUUUAACCGUGGUAUCAGAGCAUUAUUCCUACGGGCUGUGAGGCAAAGUUUUUUUUAGUAUUAAACACAGUGAGGUUGAGUGCAAACACUAGUGAGGUUGAGUGAUCUAUUUUUUUUUAAGCAACUGUGGUGCAAACAUGUCUCCUUCUAGCAAUACUUCCUCUGUAAUUCUAGUGUUUAAUGGUGAACACUAUCACAUUUGGGCUGUCAAGAUGAGGUUUUAUUUAAGGUCUCAAGGUUUGUGGAAUGUUGUGAUGUUUGAAGCUGAUCCACCACCAUUGGGAGCAAAUCCUAUAGUUGCUCAGAUGAAAGCAUAUGACGAAGAAAAACUAAAGAAAGACAAAGCCAUCACCUGCCUACAUUCAGGACUUGCAGACCACAUCUUCACCAAAAUCAUGAACUUGGAAACACCUAAACUGGUAUGGGACAAGCUCCAAGGUGAAUUUGAGGGCAGUGAAAGAGUCAAAACUGUUAGACUCUUCACAUUGAAGAGAGAGUUUGAGUUGAUGAAGAUGAAAGACGACGAAUCUAUCAAAGAUUAUUCUGGCAGGUUAAUGGAUGUUGUAAACCAAAUGCGGCUUCUUGGUGAGGCAUUUACAGAUCAAAAGGUGGUAGAAAAGAUCAUGGUUUCAAUGCCUCAAAAGUUUGAAGCCAAGAUUUCUGCAAUUGAAGAGUCUUGUGACUUGCAAACUCUCACAAUUGUAGAGUUAACUAGCAAGCUUCAUGCACAGGAGCAAAGGGUCUUAAUGAGAGGUGAUGAAGCUACUGAAGGUGCUUUUCAAGCAAAUCACAAGGGAAAGAAUUCUGGAAACUUGCAAGGAAAGAAGUUCUUCAAGAACAACAAAGGGAAAGCUGAAGGGUCUUCAAGAAAAGGAAAAUUUCCGUCUUGCUCUCAUUGUAGAAGAACCAACCAUGCUAAGAAAGAUUGUUGGCACAAAGGUAAACCUCUCUUUAAUUGUAAUUUCUGCAAUAAACUUGGCCACAGUGAGAAGUAUUGCAGAGCCAAGAAAAAACAAUCUCAACAACAACCAGAACAAAAUGCAAGUGUGACUGAAGAAGACAAAAAUGAUGAUGAGCAUUUAUUUAUGGCAUCACAAGCACUCAGUUCUCAUGAACUGAAUACUUGGCUCAUUGAAAGUGGCUGCACGAGUCACAUGACCAAAUAUCUGUCAAUAUUUACCUCCAUUGAUAGAUCAAUUCAACCAAAGGUCAAGUUGGGAAAUGGUGAAGUUGUGCAGGCCAAAGGAAAAGGGACAAUUGCUAUCAUCACCAAGAGAGGUACAAAAAUUGUCACUAAUGUUCUUUACAUUCCAGAUUUAGAUCAGAAUCUUCUUAGUGUUGCACAAAUGCUAAGAAAUGGAUAUGCAGUCUCUUUCAAAGAAAAUUUUUGUUUUAUCACUAAUGUACACGGAAAAGAGAUAGAAAAAAUUAAAAUGAAUGGAAAUAGCUUUUAUUUGAAGCUUGAUUUAGUUGAAGGUCAUGUCUUUAGUGCCAAGAUUGAUGAGAGUGUUGUUUAGCACAAAAGAUAUGGUCAUUUCAAUUUGAAGUCACUGAGGUUCAUGCAAGAAGCUGGUAUGGUUGAAGACAUGCCUGAAAUCUCAGUUAAUGCUCAAACUUAUGAAAGUUGUGAGCUAGGGAAGCAACAACAACAACCAUUCCCUCAAAAUAUGUCCAAGAGAGCUACUCACAAGCUGGAAUUAAUUCAUUCAGAUAUUUGUGGACCAAUGAGCAUAGCCUCAUUGAGCAACAAUGUGUAUUUUGCAUUAUUUAUUGAUGAUCUCAAUAGAAUGACUUGGGUUUAUUUUCUAAAAACCAAGUCACAAGUGCUCUCUGUGUUCAAAAGCUUCAAGAAAAUGGUUGAAACUCAAAGUGGCCAGAACGUUAAGGUGCUCAGAACUGAUAAUGGAGGUGAGUAUAUCUCAAAAGAGUUCAAUGUCUUUUGUCAAGAAGCUGGAAUUGUACACCAGCUAACAGCUCCAUACUCACCACAGCAGAAUGGAGUCUCUGAGAGGAAGAACAUAACCGUGAUGGAGAUGGCAAGGUGCAUGCUAUUUGAGAAGAAGCUACCAAAACUUCUAUGGGCUGAAGCAAUCAACACCUCAGUAUAUUUGCUUAACAGACUACCAACUAAGUCUGUUCAGAGCAAAACACCAAUAGAGGCAUGGUCUGGUGUAAAACCUUCUGUCAAGCACCUGAAAGUUUUUGGCUCAUUUUGUUAUCUUCAUGUGCCAUUUGUCAAGAGAGGGAAGCUUGAUGAAAGAGCUGAGAAAGGUGUUUUUGUUGGGUAUGUAGUUGAAUCAAAAGGUUACAGAAUUUAUAGCUUGAGUAAAAUGAAAAUUGUGAUAAGUAGAGAUGUGCACUUUGAUGAAAACUCCUACUGGAAUUGGGACUUGAAGAAAGUUCAUAAAUGUGAUCAAACCACUCCAUCUAUUCUUGAACCAGCAAUAGAAAGUACAAUCAUUGAAGGUCCACUUGAUGUUGAAGCAACUUCAGACACACCCGUGCUUAAGAUGAGGCCAUUAUCUGAUGUGUAUGAGAGGUGCAAUCUUGUACAUGCUGAGCUUACAUGUUACAUGGAAGCUGCAAGAUUUCUAUAAGGCUACUACUUGCACUUGCUGGUCAAAUGGGAUGGAAAGUGUACCAUUUAGAUGUCAAGUCAGCUUUUCUAAAUGGUAUACUUCUUGAAGAAAUUUAUGUUCAACAACCAGAAGGCUUUGAGGUUAUUGGCCAUGAACGUAAAGUGUACAAGCUACAUAAGGCUCUCUAUGGUUUGAAGCAAGCACCAAGGGCCUGGUAUAGCAGAAUUGAUUCUCAUCUGAUCCAACUUGGAUUUAGGAGGAGUGAAUAUGAAGCUACUUUGUAUUUGAAACAAAAUGAUGAUGGUUUGCAACUGGUAGUAUCACUUUAUGUUGAUGACAUGCUAGUGAUUGGAAGCAAUGUAAAAUUGCUAGCUGAUUUCAAAAUGGAAAUGCAGGAUGUAUUUGAGAUGUCUGACCUUGGCAUCAUGAACUACUUCCUUGGAAUGGAAAUAUACCAAUGCAGCUGGGGUAUCUUCAUUUCACAAAGAAAAUAUGCUAUGGAUAUUCUCAAGAAAUUCAAGCUAGAAUCAUGCAAAGAAGUAGCAACUCCACUGGCACAAAAUGAGAAAAUUUCAAAGAAUGAUGGUGAGAAACUUGAGGAACCCUCUGCAUAUAGAAGCUUGGUGGGCAGCCUACUAUACUUGAUAGUAACCAGACCUGACUUGAUGUUUCCAGCUAGUUUGCUUUCAAGGUUCUUGAGUUCACCUAGAAAUGUUCACAUGGGAGUUGCAAAGAGGGUGCUAAAGUAUGUUAAAGGUACAACAAACCUUGGCAUUUGGUAUUUAAAGACAGGAGGAGUUAAGCUAGAUGGUUAUGCUGAUAGUGAUUGGGUAGGAAGUGUUGAUUAUAUGAAGAGCACUUCAGGUUAUGUAUUUACAAUCGGUUCAGGUGUCAUAUGCUGGAAUUCAAGAAAGCAAGAAGUAGUGGCACAAUCAACUACAGAAGCUGAGUAUAUCUCCUUAGCAGCUGCUGCAAAUCAAGCAAUAUGGUUGAGAAAAUUGCUUGCUGAUUUAGGCCAGGAACAAAGCUCACCAACUGAGCUUUGCUGUGACAAUAAGUCAGCCAUUUCCAUUACUCAAAAUUCUGUCCAACAUGGCAGAACCAAGCACAUAAAUGUAAAAUUCCACUCCAUUAGGGAAGCUGGAAAGAAUUCACUUGUUAAGCUGCAUUAUUACUCAACUGAUGAGCAACUUGCUGACAUAAUGACUAAAGGACUUCCUAAAUCAAGGCUGGAGUUCCUAAGGUUGAAGCUUGGUAUGCCCAAGGCAAAUCUCAAGGAGGAGUGUUAGAAUUCAUGAGAGUUUGCCUUUGAAAAUGUCUUAGUUAGACUCAGUCUCUGUUUUGCUCCGUAAUUUUCAGUUUUUCUGUUAGUAGAAGUAGUCAUAGCAGUUGAGAGUUUUUAGCAUUUUCAGUUUGGUUGUAAGCCUAUAAAUAGGCAUUCUCAUUGGUGAAAUAUUGUGUGCCUUUCUCCAACUCAAUACUCUAAUAUUUUUUGCAAGUUUUAGUUCCUUAUUUUUCUCCAGAUUUUAACAGGAUAAUCAAUCAACAUGAAAGUGAGUGACAAGAUUAAGUGUGGAAACUGGAAGUGAGUAGAAUAAGCAGAUCUCUUCUUCACUUGCAGUAACUUCUUCUCCAUUCAGAUUCAGAGAUCUUAGAAUUGUAGCUUCAACUUAACUCUCAGAAUCUUAAAGACAAAGUUUGCUCAAGUUUCAAAAACUCACAGAAAAAUUUCUCCACCUGUUUCUCUUAAUCCCAUGAGGCGAGAGACAUGAAGCACACACUUAUUGGCUUUUUUCCAUGCAAGUUUCAAGGUGGAGCAUCAAAUGAACUAAAACAUUCCCUCAAAUCCUAGUGGAAAUUCACACUAGAAAUUUCAGAAUUUGCUAAAGAAAAGUUUAAUUCAUUUUCUCCAUGAAUAAAAAAGCAUGUGAGGGCAUUUUAACUUCCUAAUAAUUAUUAUAGUAAACUAUAAUUCUCAUUAUUUAAACUCAUGAUCCUUAAUUUUAUCAUCACAUUUUGAAAAGACUUUCGUCAUCCCUUCCAUGAAUUAAUUGAUGUUUAAGGAGGUAUAAUAAACUUUUAAUUGAAUUUAACAUUAUUUCUAUUCUUAGACUCAUCUUAAACUCUUAUUUUUUUAUACUCUUAUCAAAACAAAAAAAAACUUAACAAAAAAAAAAAGAUUUCAAUUACUCCGUGUUCAUAAGGAAAAAUGGCUGAAUGUUAUGAAAAUCAUACCUCAAUUGUUGAUUUAAAGCAUUUGAACAGAGAAACACCAAGUAGACUCGAUGGACUUGAUAAAGAUUCCAAACAUGUGCAACUGUGGACAUCUAGAACUCGUAAACUUGGUGGAAGCUCUGGAACUUGUAGAAGCCCCUGGCAGUGACUCAAUUCAAGGACUCUCAGUUUAGAAAGUUGAAUGAUGCCUGCAAGUAUGCUACUAAAACAGUCCAUGCUUAGAUUUAGACCUGAAGCGUGCAAACCCUCUAAACAUUGCAAACUCCUCAGGUUCUCGGGAAAUUUCUCAAGUUUUGUACAGAAACUGACAUUUAGAAUUUUGAGAGAACUCAAAUUACAAAUGCUUUCUGGAAGACUCACAAGGUUGGUGCAUUCUGCAAGAUUCAAAUAUUGAAGCCCUCUUAAAUAUUGAAUUGAUGUUGGUAGUUCUUCUAUAGCAGUUCCAUCUAAAUGAAGCUCUCUUAAAUUUUCCACAUCCUCAAUGAUUUCCGGAAAGCUCCUUAAUCGUAAACAGCCUGAGCAGAAGAGAGUUGUAAGGGAUUUCAACUCACAAAUGCUACUGGGAAGACGCUCAAGGUUUUUGCAUUCUCGCAAACAUAAGCUAUUAAGUUUAGGGGGACACUCAAUAGUGGGCAGUUCAUUGAUGGCAUUUCCCUUUAAACAAAGCUUCCGUCGGGAUUGCACAUCCUCUUGACAUUCCCGGCAAAUGGUGGGUAUCAUUGCUUUACCAUUGUUCUUUUCAUGAUCAUGGGCAUAUAUAAGAUGGAUCCCACACUCUUCCACUUUCAUUGCUUUACCACGUGAGAAGCCACAAAAUGAAGCUGUCAACUGCCUCCAUUUAUUUGAGGGGUACUUCUUCACAAUCUCCACCUUCGGAUAAUAAGUCAUCCACAUUUUUCGUAGAACAUCAUAGCAUUGACACGAGGGAUAAAACGAGAGUUUAUCCACAAACUGAAUUUUAUGACCACACAAAGUCAAACCAUACUCGAAGUAAGUUGCUUCAUUCUCCAGUGUCUCCUCAGAUUCAUUAUCAAGUGGAUCAUAGAGAGAGUACAAAACAAAACCCAACAAGUCGUUAUUUUUAUACCAAUUUUGAGGAAGCUUUGCUACUACUUUAGCUCCCUUUUUGCGAUGGCUUAUCCAUUUUGGCAUUCCACAACUUACUGAAAUAAUAAGAUUUACUCGGGUAAAACGUUUUUCUCUAGGAUAAAUCUCGCAUUCAAAAUCCUGCACGAAAUUUAAUCAACACGUAAAUCCCUAUGUCUCCACAAAAAAAGUUUUGUUCUAUGAAUAUCAUACCUGAAUCACUGAUUUGAAGCAGUUGAAUAGAGAAGACCAGAGUAGACCUGAAGAAGUUUCCAGCCGUGUGCACUCAUGUACAUCUAAGACACGCAAACUGGAUGGAAGCGCUGGAAUUUGUCGAAGCUCUUGACAGUGACCCAAGUCAAGGAGUCUCAGCAUAGAAAGUUGAUUGACCCCAGCAGGUAUGCUCCUAAAAAGAUUCCCGAAUAGCAGUAAUUGUCGCAGAGACGAUAGGUGGCAAAUUUCGGUGGGGAUUCCUCCUUCAUCUAUACUGCAGAAAGAUAGAUCUAACGCUUUCAACGAGUACAAGCAGCAAAUAUCACUCAGGAUUUCUCCUUGCAUUAGCUUUGACCCAUGUAGAAUUAACUUCUCUAAGGAGCAUAAACCUGACAAAGAAAGCAAUUGGCAACAUGUUGAAUUUAAGCCACAAGCAUGGAGAUGCUUCAAGCUUUGCAGCCUCCCCAGGUUUUGUGGCAAUUUGUGGAGUUUUGAACAGUAACUGACAUCGAGAACUUCAAGAAAGCAUAAAUUAGAAAUGCUUUCUGGAAGAGUCACAAGGUUUUUGCAGCCAUCCAGAUUCAAAACUUCAAGCCUAUUCAAAUGUUCGAUUGAUGAUGGUAGCUCUUUUAUAGCCGUUUCAUUCAAGUGAAGCUCCCUUAAGUUUUCUAUAUUCUCCAAGACUUCUGGAAAGUAUUGUAAUUGUGAACAGUGAGAGCAAAAGAGAGAUUUAAGGGAUUUGAACUCCCAAAUGCUUGUUGGCAGACUCUCAAGGUUUUUGCACUCUCGCAAACAUAAGGUAUCAAAUUCAGAGGCACGCUCAAUGGGUAGUAGGCUGAUUGUCUGACCCUUUAAACAAAGCCGUCGGUGUUCCACGUUCCUCUGACAUUCCAAGCAGCUAGCAUCCACAUCCCCAGUCUGUACUAUUGGAUCUUGGGCGUAUAUAGGUUGGAGCCCACACUUGACCACCUUAAAAUGAUUGCGAGAGCCCAUAAAUAGAGCCUCAAGACACAUGAAUCGAUUGGUGUGACAGCUCUCCAGAAUAGCAGCCUUGGGAUAGAAUAUCACCCACAUUUGUUCUGAUACACCUCCAUUAUGGUAGCAUUUACAAGCAGUGCGAAAACUGAGAUGUCGCACACGUAGGGAAGAAAAUCCAUGUACUUCACUCAAUGACAAUUGACAUUUUAACUCAGUGGAGAUUGAAGAUUCAGCUUCAAGUAAAUCAUCAUAUUCAUUUAGGGCUUCGUCACCAGAUUCAUUCUCGGAUGUAUGUGCCAAAUCAUUUUCUGGUAUGUCCUCACAUUCAUCAAGUGGAGCAUAAACAAAGCAUAUAGCAAUUCCCAAGAAGUCAUCAUUUUCAUUACAAUUCAGAGGAAGCUCCAUUGUGGUCUGAUAUCCCUCUCUCUGAUUCCUUAUCCACUUGGGAAUUCCACUGCUUCCCGGAACAACAAUACAGAUUCCAUGGUCAUUGUAGUGAGAAUCAGCGAGAAAUACUCCAUUUGAAUUGCUCUCGUGUUUCAAAUCCUGCACAAAAGGUCAAUGAAAAUCCAGUGGGUCUGCCAUUAUGUGAGUUUUUAUGAGAGAGUUUGUUAUCAGUUUUCGAUAAAUUGAUUCCCAGUAUUAACUUUCUUUGAUCUAUGCUCCUGAAUCUACUUAAUAUCCCUUUUAGAUGACGGAUAAUCAAUCAACAUGAAAGUGAAUGCCAAGAUUAAGUCUGGAAACUGGAAGUGAGUGGAAACUGAAACCGAAAGUGAGUAGAAUAAGCAGAUCUCUUCUUCACUUGCAGUAGCUUCUUCUCCAUACAGAUUCAUAGAUCUUAGAAUUGUAGCUUCAACUUAACUCUCAAAAUCUUGAAGACAAAGUUCGCUCAAGUUUUAAAAACUCACAGAAAAAUUUCUCCUCAUGUUUCUCUUAAUCCCAUGAGGUGAGAUACAUGUAGCACACACUUAUUGGCUUUUUUCCAUGCAAGUUUCAAGGUGGAGCGUCUAAUGAACUAAAACAUUCCCUCAAAUCCUAGUGGAAAUUCACACUAGAAAUUUCAGAAUUUGCUAAAGAAAGGUUAAUUCAUUUUAUCCAUGAAUAAAAAAAGCAUGUGAGGACAUUUUAACUUCCUAAUAAUUAUUAUAUUAAACUAUAAUUCUCAUUAUUUAAACUUAUGAUCCUUAACUUUAUCAUCACAAUUUGAAGAGACAUUCGUCAUCUCUUCCAUGAAUUAAUUGAUGUUUAAGGAGGUAUAAUAAACUUUUAAUUGAAUUUAUAAACUAUUAUUAUUUUUUUAUACUCUUAUCAAAAUAAAUAAAAACUUAACAAAAAAAAAAAAAAUCAAAACAAACUUUGUAAAGUUAUCAACACUUAUUUACAUCCUUCUUUUUUUUUAAAAAAAAAUUAUAAUUAAAAAAAAUGUAAUUUAAAAAUUAUAAAGAAUAAAAUAUUUAGAAAAAUGUACUAGUUAUUUGAAAUAAAAUAUAAGGGAAAUCAAAAUUCUUAGUAAAUGAAUCGUCAAAACAACUAUAAUAGCUAUACAAAUGAGAAAAAAAAAUUAAAAGUAAAAAAAAAUUAUGAAUGUCAAGAAUGAGAAACAAUUUUUUUCUUUUUUUUUUUUGUAAAUUAUUUUUAUUCUUAUUUUAUGUAUUCAUUACAAUUUUUAAAUUAAUAAAUAAAGUUUUUAUCACAAAAUUUUAAAAUGGUAUGUAUGCUUUAAAAUUUAUAUGUUGUUCUUAGAUUUUUAUAAAUUUCGUUUAUAUCUUUCAAAUUAGAAUUAUUAAACUCACAUUUUAAAAUAAGAUAUCAAAUAGUUAUUUUUUCAUCCUUUAGCAAUAUCAAAUGUUUUUUGUACUUUAAUAAAAAAAAACUAUUUUUCUCUAAUUAAUGACUAUUUUGUAUAGUAUUUGGAUAAAUUAUUUAAUAUAUAAGUAUUACUUAUUUAAUAGUUUAUUUUUUUAAUUUAUUAGAGAAAGAGUGGUGCAUAUAUAAUUCAAAUAAAAGGUAAUUUCGUAUUGCAAGAAAGUUUGUGGAAAAAGGAAAUUUGAACAAGGAUUGAAAUUUAUAGGAACCAUAUUGGACACCUAGUUUUAGGUUUGUUCCAUUCGAACAAUCAUGACUUGAUAGUAGCCUAAUCUCAAAUCUAACUUUGUCAAGCCCUUCCUUUACUAAGUUGAUCAAACAAGUUGUUAACAAGCAGAAUAAGAUAUUUUUCACUUUCACCUUGUUGAGUCUUCAAUAAUCGAUACACAUUCAGAGGGAUCCAUUAUGUUUCUUUUAGAAUAAUAUUGGUGUGACAUGUGAAGCUUUAGUUUGUUGGAUGUAUCCCAUGUUAAGCAACUCUGUAAGUUGUUUCCUUAGUUCUUCUAAAUUAGGCAGUGCCAUCCUAUGGGACCCCUAUGGCAAGGGGCUUAGCUUCUGGCUCUAAGUCAAUUUUGUGCUCCCAUUCCCUUAUUUAUGUGAGUUUCUUAUGUAACUUUAAUAGCAUCUAAGGAUGGCAAAGUUUGAUACAAUUUGUCAACCAGACUUGAACCUGAGGCAUUUUUAGUGGGUUUGGGUUGAGUAUAAUCAUGUUUAGGUCAAAUUUGUGUAAACCUAAAUAACUUGUUUAAUAAAUAGGUUGUUUUUUUUAGUCAAACUACAUAAUACAAAUUUCACCUAAAUUGAGUUGUGUAAUAAUGAUGUUAAUUAACUAGAUUAUAACCAUAACCUAUUUAACCCACAUUUGACUCAUUUAAAACUUGAUUUUGAAUAAGUAGGUUAAUUAAGUCAUAAACAUGUCAGAUUGGGAAGUUAAUCAUAUUAACUUAAACAAGAUCUAACUUGACAUUAUUAUUAAAUAGGACAUUAUUAUUAAAUGGACUAUAUGACAUGUUACUUAUUUAAUAAUUAGGUUAUGCCCGAGUUCAUUCUUUUAACCUAAUUAUUAUUUUUGUGUCAUGUUUGAAUUGAUUUAUUUAAUCAAGUGUCUUUGCUUUGACACAUUGUGAACAUGAUCCACCAACAUGAAUUGUCACUUCUAGUGGCAUCACAUACUAGAACUCUUCAAGUACCACCUCAAUUACCUUGUGAAUGAGUUCCCUUAUUGUAUCAUUCUUUUCCUCCUUUAAUAUAGCCAAGUAGGUCAUUUGCUUAUUCUUCAAUACCUUCUUUACUUGCAUAGUUGAUAGCAAGAGGAUCUCAAGUGUACCUCAAUAGCUAAUGUCAUGAUUCAUUGUAAAUUUUGUCUAAUGUGUAAUCAUAUAUACAAAUGCACUCACCUUAAAAACCUCAUCCCAAUGACUAAGACAAGUCAUCCCUCCAAUUAGAAGGUAGUGUAUUAUAAUCUCAAAUGGAUUGUCUAAAUCCAUCAACCAACCAUGAACAAAUCAUAAAUCUUGCAAGGAACCCAUGACUUAAAUCUUCCGCGUAACUCCUAAUGCAUUUUAGUCAUGUACAAUACCACUAAUGCAUGCAUGCAUACUCAAAUCAAUAUCAAUGUGAACAAAGAUAAAUUAGUGGAAACUCAAGCCUAAAUUUGUUACAUCAUGUCUUGCUUGCAAGGGCUAUAUUUUAACACAAAUAACCAAAUAGGUUCUUGAAAUACAAUAUAAUAUGUGCUAUCUCUCAGAGCACUUUAUUUUUUGUUUCAAUAACUUCAUUUUUCUAUGAAGUUUUAGAUGUUGAAAGCUCUUCUUUAAUUUCCUUCUCCUCACAAAAACUCUAGAAGUCAGAAUUAUAAACUCCUUUCCUCUAUUAUUUCUUAUUGAAAAUCCAUUUUUAUUCAUCAUUUGAAAGCAUAACACUUUGAAUCUUAGGAUGUACUUCUUUCUUCCUAGGCAUUGCACUCUCAUAGGACCCAUUAAAUCCACAUGCAACAUCUUUAAGAUCCUAGAAGAAGAGAAAAUCGUCUUUUUCUCUCACUCAUCUGAAUUCAUUUUCCUAGAUAGAAUAAAUAGGAUUUUUAGGCUUUCCUAAAUGGGACUUGCUUUAAUUAGUUCUUUAUUUGUAAUCCUAGACAAAUCAUUAGAGUUUAAAUGCACUAUCAUAUAAUGCUAUAUGUCUUUGGAUGUAAAUUUCACAUUUUACAACUAUGUGCACUAGAUGAUGAGGAAGAAGUAGAGAGGCGUACAAAGGCAUAACAAACAAUAUAAAAAAUUCUAUUUCUUACCAACACACAUCCUUGAAUAGACACUAAUUUUGAGUAAAAUGAACAAAGCACAUACAAUCACAAAUUUAACUUGCGUUAAUUAAGUUUGCUUUCAAUCCCUCAAUAUAUAGUAACUCCUUGAGCAUAGGUAAAUUUGGACCUUCUAUGGUACCUUUUGGUUUCAAGUUGGUUAUAUGUAAUCCAACCAUCCCCAAAUACAACCAAACUUCCCUUUAUAGGUUCAAACGUGGAGAAAGACUCUAAGUUCAUUGUUGCUUUUACCUUUCCCAAAUACAACCAACUCCUUCUAUGAGUCCAAAAGUCAAGGAAGAUCUAAGUUCUAUGUCAUACAACUAGAGUAGCCACUCUCAAAAUCCAAAACGUGUUUUUCUCUAGCUCUUAGGCCCUAUGGUUAACUAAGGCUUUUUGGUUCUCCUUCUUUACCCAAUUUAUCUUUCCAAUGGGAAAUUUAAAGCCUAUUUAAGAAUUAUUUUUAAAAUUAAUUUUCCAGUUCUUAAAAAUAGAAACCUAUUUUCUAGACUAAAGCCAUGUUUGGUAACUUUUUGACAUAUUAUAGUUUUUUGAGAACUUGUUAUGAAAAUAAGGUAUCUCCUAAUAACAUAUUUUAAUUGCUUUCAAGUGUUUUCAUUUAUUUUGUAGGGUUGUUUUAAGAAAAUAAUGGUAAAAAUAUAAAGAAUGAUGAAAAAUAAAGAACUAAAAAUAAAAGUUAUUUUUAAGAAAUAUUUGGAAAUACAAAAAAUAUAUUAAAAACGUUCUAAGUUUCUAAAUAGACUUUUAUUUUAGAAAACAUUAGACCAACUAUUUUUGAAAACUUUUUUCAAUAAUGGUUUUGUAAGAAUUAUUUUUUAAAAAAAAAAAAAUCCUAAACAAAGCCUUAACCUUUGAGGAUCUAAAACUUUGCACUAAGUUUGGUGUUUUAUUGUUGGAUUUUCUUAGUCUUGCAAGCUUUAUGAUGAUCUUGCAAUAUUUUCUUUAAUUUACAUUUCAUGUUACCUGAGCAUUCAGUUUGGCUAAGUAUUGAAGAAUAACUUUGGCUUACAUUCAACUUUUUUUAUGGACAAAGGAAUGGAGCUAGAUCAGAUUUCUUUCAAUUUAGUCAAUUUUGAUUUACAUGGCUCAUAAUCAGAUUGUAAGACAUUCAAAUUUUUUAACAAGGUACCGUGCUCAUUUUCAAGGUAAGAGAUUUUUUUAAAGCAAGGAAGUCUUCUCUCAUACUUCUUUUAUUCUCAUCCAACUUUCACAAUUUUCAUCUUAAGGCACUGAUCAUACAAGGCUUCCUUGGCAAUCUCAAAUGACAACUUUUCUUCCAAAUAUGUUGUAUCAUGAGACGAACCUUCAAAAUUUUCAUAUUCAAGAUCAAUUUCAAAUUUAACAUUUUUCUUUUCAUUGAAAAGUGAUAUAGAAGGUAGCAAGUAUAUCAACAAUUUCCUCAGGCUUAUCAUGCUCAAAAGACACAAAUAUCAUCAACGUCAUGUGAUAAUAAAUCAUAAUUAUGUUUAUGCAUGUUUCCAGCAAAUUAAUGCAAUAAAAUUUCUACAUUCUUCAUCAAAAUCAUACCAAAUUACUUCUAUGACCUUAUCCUUUUGACAUUCAAGAAAGUGACCUUUCUUGACAUAGUAGAAGAAACUUUGAAUCAACUAGAUCUUUUUAGUGCUUUUUAUCUUUUUAUCACAUUUCUUUUCCCUUGUUUAUGGUCUCGAAGAGGUUAUCCUUUGUUUCUUGAAGCUUUUUGAACUUUUUGAAAGGUUAUCAAACCUAUAAAUUUCAAAUAUUGCUCAUUUUUUAUUCCUAUUCUGAUUCAGAUGCAUGUUUAAUUUUUUUGAUAGAUAACACAAAUAUAUUAAAGGGCAAAGGCCACCAAGCAUACAGGAAGUAUAGAAAUCAGCCUCAAAACGAGAGCACAAAAAAACAAGCACCCUUACCCUCCUUUAAGUGGCCGCUAGCCACUUCAAAAAACCUAAGAGUGAAGAGGACUCCUCUCCAAUAUACACCCUAGCCCAACUCCACAAGGUACAAACAAAAGAAUUUUUGAGUUUUUUUAUAUUUAACACCCCUCCCUUAAAAGCUAAUCUAUUCAUUUCCUUCCAUAUCAUUCAAAAAAUACACAACGGGAUAGAAUUCCAAAUUUUUUUCCUUUUUUUCCCCACAAAGGGACCCCUCCAACUGAAUAACACCUCCUUCACUAACUCUGGGAACACCCACUGAACCCCCACAUGGGCAAAAACGAUUUCCCAUAAGGCCCUUACCACUAUACAAUGUAAUAGAAUGUGAUUUACACUUUCCUCUUCACAGCCACACAAAAAACAACAGUUAGGAAACUGCCAACCCCUUUUUUGAAGCCUAUCCAAGGUGAGAAUCUUCCCUCACGCCACUUCCCAAGCAAAAAAUGCCGCUUUGGUUGGGACCUUGUCCACCCAAACGCAUCUAUACGGAAAGUCGCAAGCAUUGAUAACAACCAGCCCGUUGUAGGCACCCUUCACCCCAUACUUACCAUGGCCUCCCCUUUCCAAAGCACCACGUCCUCCUUUGAAGAUAUCUUGAAGUCCCUGAGCAUAUUAAGCAAUCCUCUAAUCAAGUCCAGCUCCCAAUCAUUGAAGUCUCUAUGAAAUCUAAGAUUCCAACCUCCUUGACCACUGCUAUGAUCCCACAUCUCAUUAACCGUUGCAUUCUUAUUGACCACCAUCUCAAAAAGCUGGGGAAAAGAAUGGGACAACAUCUCAUUCCCACACCACUGGUCAGUCCAGAAUUUUACUCUAGUCCCUUUCCCUACCUUAAACUUUAUGUUAUCCCAACACCACUUAGCUUCCUUCAUAAUCUCCUUCCAAACCCCCACUCCAUAAGUACCACGGGCUUCUUUAGUUCUCCACCCAAACUCUUCCUGACCAUAUUUCACCCUAAUCAUUAACCUCCAGAGGUUAUCCUUUUCAACGGCAAAUCUUCAUAACCAUUUACCCAACAAAGCUUUGUUUAGAGAGUCAAUCUUCCGAAUGCCAAGGCCACCUUUCUCCCUUUAAGUGCACACCACCUCCCAUUUAAUUAAGUGGACUUUCCUCUCCAAGCUACCCCUUCCCCAAAGAAAGUCUCUUUGUAAUUUUUCGAGUUUAUUUACAACACUCUUCGGCAUUCGAAAAAGGGACAUAUUGUAAAUAGGAAGGCUGGCCAUAGUAUUCUUGAUUAAGGUGAUACGCCCUCCCUUCGAAAUAUAGUCUUUUCCACUAGGCUAAUCUUUUCCUCAUUCUCUCUUCCACCCCAUCCCAAAUAGAGACAGCUUUGUGGUGAGCUCCAAGGGGCAGCCCCAAGUAAACAGUGGGCAGCAAUCCCACUUUACAACCAAGCUCCACAGCCAUCUCCUCAAUAUCUUCCACCUCACCAACCGGAAUUAAAACGCUUUUAUCUAGAUUAAUUCUGAGACCGGAAGCCGCCUCAAACCAAGCCAAAAUCCAACUUAGAGCGGACAGUUGCUCUUUGCUAGCUUCACAAAAGAUGAUCGUGUCAUCAGCAAAGAGAAGAUGGGAAACUAUCAUCUCCUCUUCCUCUCUCCCCCAAAUUCUACAACCUGACAAGAAGCCCCCAUCAACCGCCCUUCUAAUAAGAUUACUAAGUACUUCUAUACCCAACACAAAAAGAUACGGGGAGAGGGGAUCUCCUUGUCUUAGCCCCUUGGAAUUCGAGAAGAAACCAACCGGCACCCCAUUGAUCAUGACUGAAAAUUUGGCGGUUGAGAUGCACCACCAAAUCCACUCCAUCCACCGCGACCCAAAGCCCAUUUUAAGUAGAACUUUUAUGAGAAAGUUCCAAUUAAUUCUGUCAUAGGCUUUCUCAAUGUCCAAUUUACAGAUCAGCCCUUUCUCGUUCCUCUUGUGCCAAAAAUCGAUCACCUCAUUGGCAAUAAGAGACGCAUCCAAGAUCUGUUUGCCCCUCACAAAGGCGUUUUGGUCCCCGGACACCACCUUAUCUAACACCUUCUUUAGCCUAUUUGCCAACACCUUAGCCAAAAGCUUGUACAAACCCCCUAACAAGCUAAUUGGCUGGAAAUCACCCAAGUCUUCAGUCCCUCAUUUCUUAGGAAUGAGGACUAUAAAAGUGGAAUUAAGGCUUUUGGCAAAAGAACACUGGUCAUAGAAUUCUCUAAACAAUUCCAUAAUCUCCUCCUUCACUAGCUCCCAGCUUGAUUGCCAAAAAGCAAUUGUGAAACCAUCUGGGCCCAGAGCUUUAUCCCCAUUCAUACCUAUUAGGGCAGCAAAAAUUUCCUCUUCAGUAAACUGCACCUCCAAGGCUUCAGCUUCACAUGAAUUUAGACGCUUAAGGUGCAGUCCCUCAAUAUCCGCCCUCCAGUCUGGUUCUUUUGAAGGCACCUGCUGAAAAGCACUCACUAUUCCCUCUCUCAUCUCCUGUUCCUCAGUCAUCCAAACUCCAUUAAUUUUUAUUCUAGCCAGAGAGUUAUUCCUUCGGUGAGCAUUAGCCAUCCUAUGGAAGAAUCCAGUGUUUCUAUCUCCCUCCUUAAGCCACAAUUCCCUUGACAAUUAUCUCCAGUGGGUCUCCUCCAAUAAGACCCAUUUUUUAAAGGAAUCCUUGGCUUCUUUUUUCAGUUCAGUUUCACCUUCAGACAAGCUCCUUUCCCUUUCCACCCUGUCCCAAAACUCCACUUGUUGAAGGGUUGAGUUCUUAUUGGCUUCCAGUCUACCAAACACCUCCCUAUUCCACACUUUAAUCUUUUGUUUCAGCACCUUCAUUUUAGUGGCUAGUCUGACACUGACCCUCCUUCUUACCUCAACUUCCUGCCACCAACCCCUAAAAAGAUCCGUGAAGCCAUCAACUUUAAGCCACAUAUUUUUAAACCUAAACGGGGACGGACCUCUCCUUAACCCACCCCCCAUCAACACGAUAGGAAAGUGAUAUGAGGUAGGUCUGGGCAGCCUACAUUGCAUGACCUCAUUGAAAUGGUCAAGCCAACUCUGGGUCACCAGGAACCUAUCCAACCUGGCCCAAGCCUGAUUAUUUCUCCCCCUACUCCAAGAAAGCACCCCUCCUUGCAAUGGAAGAUCAAUGAGUUCUAGCUUAUCAGCAACCUGAGCAAACCUUCUCAUUGCACUCGUUAGUCUUCCCUGAUUGCUUCUUUCCCUCAGUGACAGGAUAACAUUGAAGUCACCCCUUAGACACCAAGGAUCCUCCCAAAUGCCUCUAAUUGCUCCUAUCUCCUCCCACAUCCACUCCCUUUCCUCUCUAGAGAAGGGCCCAUACACCCCAGUAAACAUCCAAACUAGCCCAUCUUCCACGUUCCUCAUCCUACAAGAAAUUGAGAAGUUUUCCACUUCCAUUUCCAUUACUUCCAAGGUCCUCUUAUCCUAGCAAAUCAGUAUCCCUCCCGCAGACCCAUGGGCAUCCAGAGUACCCCAAUUAAGAAACCUACCAAUGCCUAAGCUUCUCACCAGGCCCUCUGUCAUUGCCUGAAUCUUGGUCUCCUGGAGACAGAACAGAUCCACUCUUUGACUCUUGAUCAUGACCUUAAUCACCUUUCUUUUUGAGCUAUCGUUAGCUCCCUGAACAUUCCAACUCAAGAUUCUUAGCUUCAUUUAACCACCAUAAUCUGACACCCUCUUACUAGCAUUCCACUCUUCUGCUUCUUCCCCCCCUCGUAGUUAAUAGAGCAUUCCAACCUUUUCAAUUCCCUUUCAAACUUGGAUUUUUUUAGAAGGUUUUUGUUGUGGACUUUUUCCCUUCUUUUUUGGAUUUUAAUCAGAAAAUCCAAAAUUUCUUUCUCCAAACCUUCUGUUGAAAAUCCCAAGAACUUACUGAAUUUGGCCAACUCACUCUCCUCCCAACUUUCCUUCUCCCAUCCCUUUCCAUCUCGUGGCAUAGAUUGGGCUAACCUCAAUUCCUUUCCACAGCUAUCCUUGCAGUCGCUUGGGCCCUCCAUCAAAUCCUAGCGGCUUGCAUUCUCCUCUUCUUGGGAUCCCAGGGGAAGAAGCAUGCGUAAGGGGGUUUAUCUCAGGUGAGUCACCCUAUCAUCCCCAGAAAGGUCGCAAAACUCCCCCAAAGGAGUCCGACCAAAAAAGAAAAGAGAAGAAGGAGAGGGUCCAGACGCCAUCAAACCACAAGGGAUAGGAGCACACCCGUACCUCGACGCUUCUUCAAUUAGGGCACAGUCGGUCCUUAACUUCUCCGCGAGAAAGAGCUCCACCUCAACUUGCCUCCGCCUGCCAUCAUAAUCCCAGAAAGGGAAGCAUUCAACAUCUGGCUCCCUCAGAUGACUUGGACCAGCCCACACAAGAGGCAAAGCCACUCCAGAGCAGCCCACCAAGGACUGGGCUGGAUCACGACAAUCUUCCCUCCCCGUCAGCCCGCACAUNNNNNNNNNNNNNNNNNNNNNNNNNNNNNNNNNNNNNNNNNNNNNNNNNNNNNNNNNNNNNNNNNNNNNNNNNNNNNNNNNNNNNNNNNNNNNNNNNNNNAAAGGGAAGCCUUCAGCAUAUGGCUCCUUCAGAUGACUUGGACCAGCCCACACAAGAGGCAAAGCCACUCCCAGAGUAGCCCACCAAGGACUGGGCUGGAUCACGGUAGUCUUUCCUCCCAGUUAGCCCACACGUCCUAGUGGACUCCACUGGUCUAAGGCCCUCUAAUGACGAAGGCCCUACAGAUGACGAAGGCCCAAUAGGAUGCGGCCCGGUCUUAGGUGAAGAAUCGAGCCCAUCGGACCCAACACCCAAGGCCCUAUGCAAGCCUUCUAGGUCCCCUAGUAAUGACCCAAUUGGGCCUCGAGACCGAGCCUAAAGGGACCCCGACCCACCUGUUUGCUCCCUUGUCCCAUCAGCAAACUGCAGGUGGGUCUCGAGCCUCGCGCCGUCCACCACUUCCAUCACGCGCUUGCCCGCGCAUGUAGAGACAUCACCUUCAACCUCUCCUUCAACACCGCUGUUCUUUCCCCUCCUUUCUGCCGGCAGCACUCUCAUUACCGGCCUUAACUCCCACCAUAGGACAAGCAAAUAACACACCCCUUUGACCCCAAUUUCUAUCAUGCUAGGGAUCUCCUCGCCGGAUAAUUUCACCAAGAUUCUUGCCCACUGCAACUCUUCCAACCUCUCCGUCUGAGUAUCAAUCGCUAAGAGCCCCCCGCAUUUCUCCCUUACCUUUCUNNNNNNNNNNNNNNNNNNNNNNNNNNNNNNNNNNNNNNNNNNNNNNNNNNNNNNNNNNNNNNNNNNNNNNNNNNNNNNNNNNNNNNNNNNNNNNNNNNNNNNNNNNNNNNNNNNNNNNNNNNNNNNNNNNNNNNNNNNNNNNNNNNNNNNNNNNNNNNNNNNNNNNNNNNNNNNNNNNNNNNNNNNNNNNNNNNNNNNNNNNNNNNNNNNNNNNNNNNNNNNNNNNNNNNNNNNNNNNNNNNNNNNNNNNNNNNNNNNNNNNNNNNNNNNNNNNNNNNNNNNNNNNNNNNNNNNNNNNNNNNNNNNNNNNNNNNNNNNNNNNNNNNNNNNNNNNNNNNNNNNNNNNNNNNNNNNNNNNNNNNNNNNNNNNNNNNNNNNNNNNNNNNNNNNNNNNNNNNNNNNNNNNNNNNNNNNNNNNNNNNNNNNNNNNNNNNNNNNNNNNNNNNNNNNNNNNNNNNNNNNNNNNNNNNNNNNNNNNNNNNNNNNNNNNNNNNNNNNNNNNNNNNNNNNNNNNNNNNNNNNNNNNNNNNNNNNNNNNNNNNNNNNNNNNNNNNNNNNNNNNNNNNNNUAUCCUGAUUCAGAUGCAUGUUCAUCUACUUUUAGUGCAAUGUUAAUGUUUCUUCUUCUUAGGAACACUUAGGGUCAUCUCCAAUUGAAGGGAGCCAACUAUCUCAUCUAGCUUAAUUGAAUCAACAGUGUUCCAUUCCUCUAGUGUUAUGACCUCAGGUCUAAAACGAUCAGAGGGGAUCUUAACAGUUUUCAGGUAACCUUGGAAUCAAGUAUAUUCAGGGAUCUUACAUAGAUUGAAAAUCAGCAUUCACAAUGUCUAUGAUUUCAAUAAUAUAUUCAGAAAAUGUUUUUGUUGUGAUCAUUUGAAAUUCAUUCCUUCACCUAUCCCAACUAUACAUAGUUUUUCCUACCCUAGUGGAUAUAUAUCCCAUCUCUAUCUAGCACCAUAUCAGGAUAUCAACCAAAUUGAACAGAACUCCAAUCUCUAUCAGACUUCAUUUUCAGGAAGUACAUCUGUUUUACCUUGGAAUGAGCAUAAUUAUCUCCUUUGAAGUAUGGAGGUCUACCUAUAGAGGUUCCUUCUCGGUGAAUUUCCAUCUUAAGAGAAUAUAGUUUAUCCAUAUUGAGAGCAUGAGUAAACAUGUUUUGAUAUGAUUUAUGAGUUUUUAAGAGAGUAUGCUAUGAACUUGAGAUCUUUUUUAGAUGAUCAAAUAACAUAUGCACAUGAAUGUGAUUAAGUGAUUAGCACAAGGUCAUACGCUAAAAUGUCUCUAAUGAAAUCUCAGCAAACAAGCACACAAAUAUUGCACAAGAUAUAACAUAAAAAAUCUCUAAGGGGAGAAAGGAAAUAAAUAAAUAAAUAACAAUGGGUGCCUUUGUUGUUGCAAAUCCACUAUGAAUAUAAAUCCAGUUUUGCCUACAAGUCCUCCCAGAUCAAUCACCAAUCCCCUUAAGGAAUCCUCAGAGUGAUUAUUUCUUCAAUCCACACCUCUUUUUUAUAUGCUUCAAUAUGGCUCAUCAUGUGCUCACCACCAAUCUCUCGACAUAGCCUCCUUCAACUAUCUUCAAUUACCACGAUUUCUCUUCUCCUCCACUAAUUACAUUACAACAGAAUCACCUUCACUAUCUCAUUGAAGUGAUCUCCAAAAACUAUAAAACAAAAAUUCUAUUUGCAAAGCAACUUCUUCUUCAUAUAGAUUCAGAGAACCAAAAUAAGAAGAUGUUUUCACCUGUAGCAAAAUCUUCAUGUAGAUUUAGAGAACUGAAAUUGUAACUUCAAAUUCACUCUUAGAAUCUCAAUUAAGGUAAAGCUCUCUCACAUUUCAAAAUCCCCCACCAAGAGUUUCGCUUACUCUUCAUUUUGGAAAUGAGAGUAGAACCAACUUAGUGCCGAGGGACAUAAGGCACACCCUUAUGGGCCUAUUGUCAUGCAAAUUUUAAGGUGGAGCAUCCAACUAACUCAACAAAUGUUUUUUUGCUUCCAGCCAUUUGUUUCCAUGGUCUAGAAAAAUAUGUCCUAGAUGAUUCCCAUUGUUUCAACUCUUUCAUGAAAAAUGCUUCUCAAAUCACUCCGGUCUUUCACUCACAUUACAUGUGAACUCCAAUCUACAGUAGUGAAAUCCUAUUAACGAGCAACCUGGAACAAUUAGCUUAUCCUUUCAAUCCCAUUUUCAAGCUCAAUUCCCUCCACCAGUGAAAACAAAUGGUCUUAUAUGAUCAACUCCAUUCACUCCAGGGCUAUAAAGGAAACACUUGUGAGCUGGCAGGCAGUAGCUCCUCCCGACUCACCAUNNNNNNNNNNNNNNNNNNNNNNNNNNNNNNNNNNNNNNNNNNNNNNNNNNNNNNNNNNNNNNNNNNNNNNNNNNNNNNNNNNNNNNNNNGCAAUUCACCAAAGAAUGCAUAGGUGGCAAUGAGGUCCCAAUGGAGCUGUGCAUAUCUAACAGUCGCAGACUUGAAGGAAGCUCUGGAAUUUGUGAAAGCUUCAUGCAGUGACUCAAGUCAAGGGCUCUAAGGUUAGAGAGUUGACUGAUACCCACAAGUAUGUCACUGAGGGUUCCUCCUUCCUCUGGAUUGGACCGACUUAGAUCUAAUACUUCCAGUGAGGAUAGAUGGAAAAUACAAUGGAAGACUCCUCCAUUUAGAUUGCAGUUUCUUAGCCUUAAUUCUUUCAAUGCGUUCAAGCAGUUAUCACUCUUUAUUACUCCUGGUGUUAGAUUGCAUUGAUCUAAAUAUAGUUCCCUUAAGAGAGAUAAACCUGACAAAGAAGGCAAUUGACAACUGAGCGAAUUUAAAGAAAGAACCUCUAGACAUGGCAUUCUCUCCAGGUCCUCUGGCAAUCUGUCAAGUUUUGAGCAGCCUUCAAGACUUAGAACUUCAAGAAAUCUCAAAUUACAAAUGCUGUUCGGGAGACCCUCAAGGUUUUUACAAUUGUCCAAAUACAAGUUGCGAAGACCUUCUAGAAGUUCAAUCGAUGAUGGUAGCUCUUUAAUAGCUGUUUCAUCUAAACUAAGCACCUCUAGUUUUCCAAUGUUGCACUUGAUUUUUGGAAAACUAGUUAGUUUUGAACAGCCACUGCAAUGAAGAGUUAAAAGGUGCUUCAACUUAUGAAUGUCCCCAGGAAGACUCUCGAGGCUUACACACCCUAUAAAAUUCAAGGAAAAAAAAAGUUAGUUUUAUGACACUCUUAUAUGUGUGUGAACCUUAAGUAAAAUUAUACAACCUGAAAGAAUAAGUUCCUCCAAAUUUGGCACGUUUGAGAAAUUUGGUAAUUCAAUAAGCUGUUGUGAAUGACUGAGAUCGAUGUACCUUAAAUUUCUAAGACACUGGAACAAAAUAGAAUUUCUAUUAAUAAAUCAAUUUUAAAAAAUUUAAAAAUAUUAUGAAACAAAAGCAUAAAUAAAUAAUAAUCAUACCAUGUUUCCUUUCCAAAGUAGUUUUAUGUUACUAUUGCUCAAUUUGAGGAGAGCAAGAUCAUUUGGAUGAAAGUUUGAUGGUAGAGAUUCUAAAGAAUAUCCAUCCCAACUGAGACAUGUCAAGUCAUCAGACGAAAAUACAAAAUCUUCAGGAAGUUGUAUGCGAUUGUGGGAGACGACAAGCAAUCUAAGUCUAUUCAUCCUUUCGAAAGCUUUGCAUGUAAACUGUAUCUGUUCUGAUUUGUCCACAUCAAGGAAUAUCCCUUCAAUUUUUUCAGUCCCCUAGAUAAUAAGAGUAUAAAAUUAGAAAAGCACAAUACAUAUAAAUCCUUACUAAGGUGAUAAAGAUAAAUAACUUCUUGAACAAAACAUAUUUUCUAUAUAUAUAUAUCUUACCGUAUUUCUUUUUAAUACUCGAUAAAUAUCUGUAUGCCUCCAUAAUCUGCUCCUCUCUCCUGGCUCAUUAGGACAUUCUUCAUCAACAAUGCCCUUGCCCAUUUGGGCUAACAAAUCAUGCAUCUCUAUUGUCUUGUCCUUUGAAAUGGUUAUGAAACACCUAUCAACGAGAGCAUUUAUUCCACUUUCCGCAUUGAAUUCGGAACCAUCCAAUAUUCUUGAAACUAUUUCCACAUCACCUCCUUUAAAGAAACAUGCAAUGUCGAGAAAUAUCAUCCUUUGUGUAUAAUCCAAUCCAUCAAAACUUAUUUUAAGCACAUUUACAAUUUCCAUGUUAGGCACCUUUUCCAGCUUCCGCAAUUCGCUUUUCCAAUUUGGUAGUCUCUUUCCAAAUAAUAGAGAACCCAAAACUUUAAGUGCUAAUGGAAGACCAUCAGCAUAUCGUACUACUUGAUGAGAGAGAUCUGCAUAACCUUCCUUCAGAUGAUGUUGUUUAAAGGCAUAACGACAAAAAAGUUGAAGAGCUUCGUGAAAAUUUAAUUUCUUAACUUCAUAUAUAUCAUUCACUUCAUGCCUAGUUAGCAAAUCUUUUUUCCUAGUAGUAAUGAUGAUUCUACUUCCUGGACCAAACCAAUUAUGCUUUCCAAUCAAGUGUUCUAAUUGUGUCAGCUCAUCUACAUCAUCCAAAAAAACAAGAACCUUUUUUGAGGAAAGCUUAUCCCUUAUUAUUUUGAUACCUUCAUAAACAUUCUUUAAAACUAUUUGCCCCUUUGUCCUUAGAGUAUCAUCAAGAAGCUUUUGUUGUAACUUAAGAAGACCAGAAUUUUUUGUGGAUUCUUUCCUGACAUUUGUGAGCAAGCUAACACUUUCGAAUUGAUGUGAGAUUUGGUUAUAAAGAGCAUUGAUGAUGGUAGUCUUACCGAUUCCACCAAGACCAUAAACCCCGACCAUGCGAACAUCAUUCGACUCAAUCUUUAACAAUGAUAUUAGUUUUUCCAAACGAGAAUCCAUUCCAACAAUGUUCUCGUUAACACCUAAAAUCUUAGGUAAGUUUCCAUGAACGUUCUCAAUAAUUUCAUCAAUAAGCGUUGACUCAUACCUGCCAAUUGCAAAGCAUAAUAGAUCAUGUACUCAUGCAAUAGAAUGAGUAGCAAAAGACAAUAAAUUAUAUGAAAUAAAUUUAAUGAUGCCUACUUUUCCAACUAUAACUUAGCAGGGCUAAAAAUAAUUUAAAUUAAAAUAAAAUAAACCACAUCUAUCAAACUACUUAUGGGUACGAUUGCAUUAUUCUAUACAGUUGCUCGUGUGAUAGAAAUGAGGGAAGAAAAUGCAGAAUAUGAUUUGCAUUAUCAAAAGUGGAAAAAAGAAAUUGAAAUAUUUUUGUGUUAACUUGUCUACUCAAUCUUUUGGAAGGCUCAAAAUGAAGUUGACUUGUUUGGAAUAUUACUACCCUAUUUUGAUAAGGGAUUCCAUCACAGAAUCAACCACUAUUCUGCAUCCAAGCUUUUACGAUCAACGUUACCAUCUUUUGUACUUGCAUAACUUUCUCUCACCAUUCAUUUAGAUAAUGGUUCCCCUAGCUGUUCUUUAUUAUUAUUAUUAUUAUUUAUAAAUUUUUAUAAAAUUUUUUGAAAACCCUUUAAUCAAAAUAUAACUUUUAUAAAUUAAUUGAACAUAUUUUAUUUAUAAUUUUAAUUAUUUUGUCCGAAGGAAUUAAAAAAAUAUAUUUUAAAAGAAUAUCAAUUUUAACUUAAAAUAAUUUAGUAUAUUCUUUAUCAAGUGUAAAAUUUUAAUGAACAGAUUUUUAUUUUAUAAAAAAUAAAAAAUUUUAAAAUUUUAAAACUCACAUAGCUUUAAAUAUUUUUUAUAUCAGCAGACAGAGAAAAGGAGAGUACUUCAAGUGAAAAAUGAAAAGAAGUUACAAUUACCUGUUCUCCGCAACAUGUCCGGCUAGAUUGCCUGCUUGCUCCAUGGCAGUCCUCCAUUUCCUUAUCUUUUCCUUUCUCUCCUCGUCUGCAUUUUCCUCAUGACGGGUAAAUGCUUCUCCACAAAUCCCAGUUUGCUUCCGAACUUCAGACGGAUCCACAUUAUAGAAAAUUGGGAUAACUAUUUGUCCCCUUUCCUCUUUGCAUUCCAUGAUCUUGACAAGCUCGUCCAGACACCAUUUGGAAUGAGCAUAGGUUUUUGAGAAAACAAUAAUGGCAAUCCUUGAUUCUUCAAUAGCUUUUAAGAGCUCUGGUGCAAUCUCUUCUCCCCUUGGAAGCUCUUCAUCAUCUCUGAAGGUAUGAAUAUUGUUACGAAUCAAAGCCGAGUAGAGGUGAUCAGUAAAGCUUUUGCGAGUAUCUUCACCUCUAAAACUCAAAAACACAUCGUAGCUCCACUGAGAGUGAGAAGUGGAAGAAGAAGAGGGUCUCUGGAUGCUGGGGGAAGCCAUGGUUGAACAGAAAUUGGAGGAAAAAUAAGGGUCUUCGGGUACUGAGUAACUCAUUCCCCUAGCCUUACGUGAAGUUUGGAUGUUGGUGGUGGGAUGCGCUUUUUCUUUCUUAAUUAUUUCUCCCUAGCUGUAUCCCUCUAGCUUUGAAUGAUAGUGUGGUUCACAUGGUCAAGACCGCACUUCAAUCAUUUCCCUUCACUCUUUUCUUUUACAUUUUACUCACUUUUCUGAGUUUUCUCUUUUUGUCAGUCAACAAUGGCCGACAGUCUUGUCUCUGCCGUUUACAGCUGCUCUUUUCUUUUAUUCUAAAAUAAAAAAAAUAAAAAAUGAUCAAAUGGUCUUUGCUUAGCUCAUAAGAUCGUGUGAACGCACAUUAAAUUAAAGUUAUUCAAUUAAGUUUUGUCUUUUCCAUAGUGAGCAAUAUUAUAGUAGAAAAUAAAGGUUUAUUAAGUUGAUAUGUCAAGUAAAGCUAACAACUUUGGUAUUAUAAGCUUCAUUUUUGUAGAUAAAAAAUAUGAUAAUUCAUAUGACAAAAGGUAAAGAAAAUUUUGAUCUUGAAGAGUAGAAAGAAGCACAAAACCUUCAUGAAAUUUUAGGGAAGAAAGACCAUGCCCAAAACUCGAAAUUUAAAUUUUCACAGCCUUUUCACAUUUUGUAGUUGGCUUUAUUAUUAAUAGAAGCACAUAAAUAAAUAUUGUACUUAACCAUGUUACUUCUAAAAUUAAAUCCCAUUAAUUUAUAGGUCAUAAUGGCUUGUAUAGGUCAUCAUAGUAAUGAGUGUGAAGGUGGGUACUUCUAUAAAUAAUAGAUGAGAUUAAACCAAUUACCCUAAAAUUCAAAAGCACCUUUAUCAUAAAAGUCAUUGUCGUCGUAAUGGUAAUGAGGUUGGAGUAUUGGAUUAAAAUAACUUAUUUAUUAAAAAAAAUAUAAUAUUUAACAAAUUUUCGAAACUUAUGUUCAAAUUGAUUUUUUUUUUUAUACCAUGUAGGUGUCAUGUCAUUAAAAUUUAUUUAUUUUUAAUCAUUUUAGUUAAAAUCUCAGUUAGUAAAUCAUUUUAAUUAAAAUCUCAAUUAGUAACUAAGGCUUCAAUUUUUAACUAAAGUCGGUAAUUGUCAAUUAAGGCUUCAUUUUUUAAAUUGAAGCCUCAAUUGACAACUAAAGUUUCAUUUUUGAAUUAAAACCUCAAUUGGCAACUGAAUCUUCAAUUUUGAACUAAAACCACAGUUCCCAACUGAAGCUUUAAUUAUUUUUUUUAAAUAAAAUUUAUUAAAUUAUAAUUUAUGAUUGAAAUUUUAAAAAUAUACUUAAAUAAUAAAUUAUUUAUAUUUAAACUUAAGAAUCUAGUAUUACUUCAACAAACAUAAAUUGAUAAAUAGAAGAUAUUAUAAAUGAAUAUUUUAUUUAUUAAUAAAUUAAUAAUCUUAAAAUAAUAAAUUUACAUAACAUAUAAAUAAUAUAUAAAAUUGUAUAAUUUAUUAAUUUAAGAUAUUUAAUUUGUCGUUUUUUAAGAUAUUAAUUUAUUUGUAUUAUGACAAAUUUAUUUUUAUCGAAAUAAUAAUAUACUUUUAAGUCAUAGUUGCUAACUGAGAUUUCAAUUAUAAUUUUUUUUUUACUUUCAAAUUUAAUUAAAAACUAUUAAAUUAUAAUUUAUUAUUGAAAUUAAAAAUAUAUACUUUAAUAAUAAAUUAUUUAUAUUUAAACUUAAAAAUAUAGUAUUACUUCAACAAACAUAAAUUGAUAAAUAAAAUAUAUUAUAAAUAAAUAUUUUAUUUAUUAAUAAAUUAAUAAUCUUAAAAUAAUAAAUUUAUAUAACAUAUAAAUAAUAUAUAAAAUUGUAUAAUUUAUUAAUUUAAGAUAUUAAUUUAUUUUUAUAAUUUAAUAAUUUUUAAUUUAAAAAAAAUUAACUAGGACCUCAGUUGGAAAUUGAGACUUCAAUUUUAAAAUUUUAGUUUAAAAAUGAAACCUCAAUUGAUAACUGAGGUUUUAGUUCAAAAAUGAAGUCUCAGUUAUCAAUUGAGACUUUAACUAAAAUUAUGAAGAAAAAAAAAUUUAAUGAUAUGACACCUACAUGACACAAAGAGACCAAUUUGAACAUAAAUUUCAAAAAGUAAUUAAAUGUUUUUUUUUUUUUAAUAAAUUGACCAUUUUGACCCGAUACUCAAUGAGGUUAGGUAUAUUUUGAAAGAAUAGAAAACCCUAAAUUUCAAAAGAAUGUUUGAUUCUUGACAAUUUAUCCCCAAGAGCCUUAUUUUUUUACUUUUUAUCUUUUUAUUAUUAUUAUUAUCGUGAGGAUGGUUAAAGAUGAUAUAGAAGUCUUUCAAUGGUUUAAAAAAGAAAAAUGUGAGUGUUAAGUUGACAUUUUUGCCAUUUUAGAAAAUACUUAAUUUUAAGAUCAUUAAUAGGAAGAAAUAAAGAGUUCACAAAAAAUAAAGACAUUUUUAUUGAUUGAUCUAGGUAAUUGUGGACCCCGCAUUUCGGCUCAAUACGUUUUCCACUAGAUGGCGAGCUCGAUUUUGAUUUGAAAAAUGAUUUUUAUUGGUUAAAAGAAUGACUUGGAGUCGCCACUUAUUUUUGUUUUAUUUUUAAAGGGUAAACAAAAUAAGAAAGAAAAACCCUAAGUGUGACUCCUUGUUUUGGAAAAGGUGGUCUGUGAAAAACCGGAUCGGGUUCGGGGGUCAGGUUACUUAUUGGGAAGGUACGGUAGAGACCGUAGCACCCCUCUAAGUCCCUAAAGUCGGGUCUCUACUAAUAAAGUGAAACUGACGUGACAAUCGAAUAAGAAAGUCAAUGGAUACUCACAUCAAUCAUGCAUAUAUGAGAAUCAGAAUAUGUAUAGUGAAUGAUCAGAAUGAGUGAAUGCAUACCUGGGCAGCAAACAGCAACGCGCUAUCAAGAAACGGGAUUAGUGCACAAUUAAUGAAUACAAAACAUAGCUCAUACAUAUCGGAGUGCAAAGCGAAGCUCAAACAAAAUACAGUAAGCACGAAAAUUGACAGUCAAAAGGGGUCAAACAUAGGGCCCCCAACAAAGCCCGAUUUAUUGUUCAUGAGCUAAUCCCACAAAUCCCCUGUUUUGGAAUUAUGAAGGAAUCACUGUUGUUUAUGUAAAAUCAAGAAGAUCAGAAGAUUAUUUAGGAACUGAAAUGUGAUUAAGAACUAUUCGAGUGAAAACUGAAUUAUUGGAGCUUAUUUGAAAAUUGAAGUAUUUGGAAUUAAAUUUUGAAGAUUAGAGCUCUGGUGAUUAAAUCGAAAUUUUUAAAGAAAAUGAGAAACGGACUUUAGGAAAUUGAACUGCGAGACCAUAGACUUUUGAAAGUUGAAUUUAUAAUAAUGAUAGUAAUGAGGUCUUGAGAGGUUGAAUUAAUAAUAAUAAUAAUUAUAAGAUUUCGAAAGUUGAAUUUAUAAUAAUGAUAGUAAUGAGGUCUUGAGAGGUUGAAUUAAUAAUAAUAAUAAUUAUAAGAUUUCGAAAGUCUGAAUUGACGAUAAUAAUAACAAUAAUAAGAUUUUGAAGGUGUGAAUUAAUAAUAAUAAUAAUAAUAAGAUUUUGAGAAUUUGGAUUAAUGAUAAUAAUAAUAAUAAUAAAUAGAUUUUGAAAGUUGAGUUAACAAUAAUGAUAAUAAGAGAGUUUGGAUUAAUGAUGAUAAUAAUAAUAAUAAAUAGAUGUUGAAAGUGCGAAUUAAUGAUAACGAUAAUGAUGAGAUUUUGAAAGUUGGGAUUAAUGAUAAUAAUAAAUAAUAAUAAAUGGAUGUUGAAAAUGUGAAUUAAUGAUAAUGAUAAUGAUGAGAUUUUGGAGGUUUGGAUUAGUGAUAAUAAUAAGUUAUAAUAAAUAGAUUUUGAAAGUUGAGUUAAUAAUAAUAUUAAUAAUGAGAUUUUUGGAAGUUUGGGUUGAUGAUGAUAAUAAUAAUAAUAAAUAGACUUUGAAAGUUGGGUUUAUAAUAAUAAUAAUGAGGGUUUUGAAAGUUUGGAUUAAUGAUAGUAAUAAUAGUACUAAAUAGAUUUUGAAAGUUGAAGUAAUAAUAAUAAUAAUAAUGAGAUUUUUGAAAGUUUGGAUUAAUGAUGAUAAUAAUAAUAAUAAUAAAUAGAUGUUGAAAGUGUGAAAUAAUAAUGAUGAUAAUAAUGAGAUUUUGAAAGUUGGGAUUAAUGAUGAUAAUAAUAAUAGUAAUAAAUAGAUUUUGAAAUUUGUGAAAUAAUAAUGAUGAUAAUAAUGAGAUUUUGAAAGUUGGGUUAAUAAUAAUAAUAGUAAUGAAAUUUGUGAAUGUUGAGUUAGUAAUAAUAAUAGUAGGAUUUUGAAAGUUUGGAUUAAUGAUAAUAAUAAUAAGAAUAAAUAGAUUUUGAAAGUUGAGGUAAUAAUAAUAGUAAUAAGAUUUUGAGAGUUGAAUUAAUAAUAAUCAUAGUGAUAAUAAUAAUAAUAAUGACAAGAACAAUGAUAAUAAUAAUAAUAAUAAUAAUGACAAUAAUAAUAAUAAUAAUAAUAAUAAUAACAAUAAUAAUAACCAUAAUAAUAAUAAUAAUAACAAUGAUAACAAUAAUUAAUAAUAAUAAUAAUAAUAAAUGAUAACAUGCAUCCAUCAAACCCAAAGCCCAUAAGCAUGGAUCCACUAACAAGCCUCAUCUUCAACAAGCCCAGUCCAUAAGCCUAAACCCAUAAGCCUAAGCCCACAAGCCUAAGCCUAAGCCUCCAAAGCCCAUCAGCAAAGCUCAAGCCCAAAUCAAUGAGUAAGCCCAAGCCCUUUAUCACAUGCUCUUCUUCCUCAUCUCCGGAGACAGUGACGGAGAAAAAUGGAGGUGAGAGAGACAUCGUCGGAGGUCCUCGGAGUUGGUCCAAGCUGCCAUCCUCCCGCGCCACCUCGGACAUGCCCAACUGCAGCAGCCUAGUGUCGGUGUGGAGCCUGCUGCUGCAGCCUUCAUAGGAGCGUGGAGCUUCGUCGGCCGGAAUCUGGUCGUUGAGGAAGAGCUCAUGUGCUGACAGCAUCCUCGACGUCGUCGUCGCGGAGCUCCCAUAGUAGGCGAGCCAUGUGGAAGAUUCGAACCCGGCGCCGGUGGACGAUGAGGCUACGGUUAAAGUGGACGGCGUCGGCAUUACGCAAGGUGCGAAGUGCAUGGGGCUCACCGGAGUGCUGUAGAAGAAAAACACCGCUUCCGGAGCCGCGUCCUAGGCUGGAGGGAGCAUUGACGUGGGGGGUGGAGCUAGAGAGAGAAAAUGUGGUGGAAAUGAUAAUGGGUGAGUGUGGCGAGGGUUGACGGAGUUGGGGAUGUGCAUGAGAGAUGAUGGGCAUGAAGAGAUCCAAAAAAAAAAAAAAAAGAUGGGUAUGGUGAUCUCGGAUGUGAGUGGUUAAAUGGGGGUUUGUGAACAAAGCAUGAAUCAAUAAUGUCAAAGCACACUUAUAACUCAAACCUCAUCCAACAAUACAUCAACUACUAGCUAUCCAUAUCUGGAUCAAAGGGAAAAUGACCAGAAAAUAACUCAAGAAAGAAAGAAAAAAAUGGGACAAUCAGAUGCUAAGUAGGAGCAAGGAGUCAUCAAUGGCAUACCUGGGGACGCUCCCUUCUUCUUCAAGCUUCACUUUCCAAGAUCCCUCGAACCAGCCCGCUCUCCCCCUCCUCCUUCCUGUUGCCCUGGUCCCGCUUGCCUUUUCUUCUUUCCCCCGUUCUUUUUUUUCUCUUCGUGUCUUCUUCAGCAAGCCCGCCGUAUCCCGUCCCAUCUGCAGCCCAAAAGCUCUGCCUUCUUCCUGCUUUUCUUCCAACCGUCCUCGGGUGGAUAAAGAAAGUAGAAAAGAAGAAGAAAAAAAAAAGAAAAUGCAUGAAAAUAAAAAAAACCUGCCCCCAGUUGAGGGGGUCUACAGUAAUCCUUUCAUAGCUUUUAACUAUAACUUUGUUGAAAAUCUUACUCCUUCCUCCUUGUCUUCCUCUUAUAAUUUCUAAGUUUCAACUUUUUUUUUUUUCUUUUUAAUAAUAAUAUUGGUUUUAUGUUUUAAUGAAAUAGGUUGCAAAUUUGAAGAAAACAUAUUCUAAUGUAUUUAUUGAUUAUAGCUCUUUCUUCAAAAGGGUUAUCGUUAUUUACAUUCUCAAACUAAUCAAAUUUACAUCUCUAGAUAUGUAAUCAUUGAUGAGUUUGAGUUUUCCUUUACUAACAAAACUUCUACCAUAUCUUUCUUAUAGGAACAAAGUCAAAUGACCAUAUUUUGAGAUUUCGAUCAGCAGUCACAACCAUUCAAUCCAAACACCAACUCAACCCACAACUUCACUCCCACCAAACAACCUUUCAAACCAUCGUAAUAGUGUAGAUCUUCUAUUUUGUCUUUUUAACACAUCUCAUCUAAAUUUGUCUUUCUUACAUACUUUAACACCUUAUUAUGCACUUAUGGUCAUUUUUCUAAGCUGUUUUUUUUAAAUUAUCUUUUAUUCUUUGUGAUUAUGUUGAUUACUAAUUAUUUUAUUUUAUUUUAUUUUAUGCAAGAGUCAUUCUAAAGGGAUUAAAUGCAUUCCAAUAUUGAUUUUAAUGAUUUUUAAAUCUUAAUUCAGGACUUUAUUUUUUAUUGAUGUAUAACAUAUUUAGGUUUGUUUAAAAUUUUCAAACUUUAAUUUUAUAAAAUAGAUUCAAGUUUUGAAUUAAUUAAUAAUUGAUUUCAUUCUCUUUAAAAUGUAGAAUAUGAUAAAAGGCCUGCAACAAAUUCAAACAAAUCUUUAUACAAGUGAGAAUUUAUGUCAUCCAAUCAUUUUAUUAAAAAUCACUCUAUAAAUUAUAAAAAUAAAGAUAUUAAUCACAUCUAUUAAUAUGUUUUUUUUUUAAAUUGACAAAUCAUGAUGAAAUUAUAAUCUUUUUAAUAUUUUAUUAAUUAUAAAUUAAAACAUCACUAUAAUUAUUCAAUCCCCACAGAAUAUAAAAUGAGUUAUUUUCAGUAAUAAUAAUAAUAAUAACUAAUCAUAUUUGAAUAACAUUUCAUCAAUUAUAUAUCAAAAUAAAGUUUUAUGUUUAUCAUAACCUAUGUUUUAAAACAAAAUAAUAAAAGUUAUAUUUCCAUUUAAAUGUAUUUAGAUAUCUACCUCCAUAGCCCAUGGUAUUAAAAUAAUCUAAUAAAACACAGUAUCCCAUAACCGGUCAACAGCACAGCUGCUCCUAGCCUUAGCCUCUUGCAGCUGCAAUCAGCUGUUCCACUCUCUGUUACAGGAGUUUAAGACCAAAAUAAUAUAUUUGUAAAAAAAAAUGAUAAGAAUAGUAUCCAUUUGAAAAUAUUUGCCAAAGUAGUCUUCUUUAUCCACGUAAGCAUCCACAUGGAUUUUAAGUGUAAAGAACCACCGUUGGUGACUGUGGUUUUAGAACUUACAAAAAUUUCCUUAAAACCACAGUUACAAACUGUGGUUUUACAAUUUCUCUUAGAACCACAGUUACUAACUGCGGUUUUAAAAGAAGUUUCCUUAAUACCACAGUUACAAACUGUGGUUUUACAAUUUCCUAACUUUACAAUUAUUUUUAAAAUAUUUUUUUUAUUAAAACAACCAUAAAACCACAGUUAGUAACUGUGGUUUUACUAAUGGUGUUGUAAUUCAAAUUAGUGAUGUUAUGUUAUUCACAUGUUUCCUUGAUAAUUUAAACAAAUAAAACUCAAAUGCAUCCUAAAGUCUAAAUGAAAGAAAUUAUAACUAAAUAAAUUAUUACAACCAUUACCUAUUUUUCUUUCAUAUAAUUAAAAAAUUAUACAUUUUAACCAAGACAUAAGUUCAAAUCAUACUUAAUAAUAAAUAACCUAAAAUCAUAAUCACUAACAUUAAUUUUCAUAUGAAAAGAUAAAAUUUUAAAAUAAUAUAAACAAUUUCUUUAGUUAUUUUAAAAUUUAAAAAUAAUAUGAAUAAAUAAUUUUCUUUAGUUCAUAUGUGAAAAUAUUUGUAAAACAAAUAAAUAUUUUAUUUACUAUAAAUAUAUAAAUUUUUAUGGGAAUGCAUGUAGACCAAAUUAUUUUCUCAAAUUUUCAAGGAAAAUAUGAAAAAAUAAAGAUAAAAUAUAUAUAUAUAUAUUUUUAAAUAGUCGUAACAAAAAAAUUUGUGAAAAGCAAAGUUCUAAAAUCCCAUACUUUUUUAUACAUGAGUCCCCUUAAAAAUAUUUGUGAAAAUUACAACAUAAUUGUAAUUUUGAUAAAAAAAUAUUUUAAAAAUAAUAUUAAAAUUACAACACCAUUAAAAUAGAUGUGGAUUAAAAAUAAUUGUAAAACCACAGUUACUAACUGUGGUUUUAUAGUUAUUUUGAUAAAAAUUAUUUUAAAAAUAAUAUUAAAAUUACAACACCAUUAGUAAAACCACAGUUACUAACUGUGGUUUUAUGGUUGUUUUGAUAAAAAAAAAUAUUUUAAAAAUAAUAUUAAAAUUAUAACACCAUUAAAAUGAGGACGGAUUAAAAAUAAUUGUAAAACCACAGUUACUAACUGUGGUUUUAAGGGAAAUUGUAAAACCACAGUUUGUAACUGUGGUUUUAAGGAAACUUCUUUUAAAACCGCAGUUAGUAACCGUGGUUCUAAGAGAAAUUGUAAAACCACAGUUUGUAACUGUGGUUUUAAGGAAAUUUUUGUAAGUACUAAAACCACAGUCACCAACGGUGGUUCUUUACACUAAAAAUCCAUGUGGAUGCUUACGUGGAUAAAAAAGAUUACUUUGACAAAUAUUUUCAAAUGGAUACUAUUCUUAUCAUUUUUUUUUACAAAUAUAUUAUUUUGGUCUUAAACUCCUGUUACAGUCCAGCUUUGGCCGCCCAAGACAUACAUCUUUUCACCCAUCAGCCAUUACCCCUGCCACAGCUCAUACUAAAGCUGCCAUAACCUAUACCCCAUAACCUAAUAUACGACUCUCACAACCGCCCUUUGUAAGAGUCACACAAAAGCCAAAUUUUUAUUAUUAUUAUUUUUAAUCAACUCCAGCACAGCCUCGUCAGACGCCGAGCCUCCUGAUCUCAUCUCCAAACACGUUCUGCAGCUGAAUCCUUUGCCUUUAUGAAGUUUGGAUGUUGGUGGUGGGAUGUGCUUUUCCUUUCUCAAUUAUUUCUGCUUAGCUGUAUCCCUCUAGCUUUGAACUUUCACUUUUGUCCCUUUUGGCAGUCAACAAUGGCCGACAGUCUUGCCUCUGCGAUUUACAGCUGAUCUUUUCUUUUAGGGAGAGUUGGGAUUACUGGCUGUUAUACGAGAAAUACAUGGUUUUCAAAACCAUAUAACUGAAAUAUGAUUUACCUGAGAAAAAUUGUGAGAGUUGAGUUGUCAUUUUCGCCAUUUUAGAAAAGACUUAAUUUUAAGACCGUUAGUAGGUAGAAAUAACAAGUUCACAAGAACGAAAGAGACCUUUGUUGACUGACCUAAGUAACCCCUUUCAUGGCUUUUUCACUUGUUUGUUUUUGGGUUUUCUUUAAUGAGGCUAGGUGAUUGUUGUUUAUUUUGACUUAUAUUUUAGAUGGAUUUCAUUUUUAAUAAGAGUUUUUCAUGGUAAAAAUUGAUGUGAUACAAAUUUUUAUUGAUAUUAAUAUCAUUUUAUCAUAAAUUAUUUAGAGUAUAGAUAUAAAUAAAAUAUCAAUACCAUAGGAAAUGUUAAAAUAAAGUUAGGUGCAUAUGCAAAAAAUAAAAUUUGAAAAAUAGAAUAGUCCAGUCCAACCAUAUCCACACAUCCAUCUUCCUAUAAAUGAAACUAAUGAUAGAUACAUAAGUCAAAAAUAAGAUUUGAAAAAGAGUAUAAUCCAAUUCAACUACCUAUCUUCCAAUAAAUUAAACUCAAAAUGGGCACAUAUUCCAAAAAUAAAUUUUGAAAAAUAAAAUAUUCCAAACCAACUUUAUCAACAUGUCCAUCUUCCAAUAAAUUAAAUUGGAAAUGAGUCGGCAUGUGAUAAAAUAAAUGUCAAUUUCCAUUUUACUUAUAUUAAAUUCACUUAUAUAUUUAUAUCGAAAAUUAUCCUUUGAAUAUUUCUAGAAACAUUAGUGUGGACUCCGCAUUUUGAUUGCUCAAUGCGUUUCCCACUCGAUGGCGAACUCGACUUUUAUUUGAAAAAUUGAUUUUUAUUGAUUAUUUGAAAAUGACUUGGAGUCGCCACUUAUUUUUGUUUUAUUUUUAAAGGGUAAACAAAAUAAGAAAGAAAAACCCUAAGUGUGACUCCUUAUUUUGGAAAAGGCGGUCUGUGAAAACCGGAUCGAGUUCGGGGGUCAGGUUACUUAUCGGGAAGGUACGGUAAAGACCGUAGCACCCCUCUAAGUCCCUAAAGUCGGGUCUCUACUAAUGAGAUGAAGCUGACAUGGCAAUCAAUGAGAAAAUCAAUGAAUACUCGAAUCAAUCAUGCACAUAUGAGAAACAAAGCAUGUAUAAAGAAUGAGCAAAAUAUGAAUAGAUGCGUACCUGGGCGGCAAUCACGAAUGCGCUAUCAUGAAACAUGGUUAGUGAACAAUGAACAUAUAUAAUUAAGCGCAUAUCAAGGAAUAGAGUAAAUCAAUCAUGCAUGACAAAUAAAUCAAUCAAGCAAUCAAUCAGUCAUGAAUUCACAUAUGUGGGCCCCCCAUCAAAGCCCGUUUAUUUUGCAUGAAUUAAUCUCAUAAAUCUCAUCAUUUGAGAAUUACGAAGAUUGAUUUCUUGCUUGUUUAAAAACAUUUUGAAAUUCAUAGGAGUUGUGAAAAUUAUUGGCCAGAAGGAAGAAUGGCAGUGAAUUUUAUUUGAAAUGAGAUUUUUGAGUGAUCCUAAAAAUUCUAAAGAUGAAAAUUUGAAAAAUAAAUAAAUAAAUAAGAAUAAAAUAAAAUUAUUUGAAAAUCUAGAAAUUGGAAACUAUUUGAAAACGGGAAAUUUGGAAAUUACUUUUAAAUUGAAGAUAAAGAAAUAAAUAGAUAAAUAAAAAAAUAAAUAAAAGACACGUGGCCCAAAAGGUGGUCAUGCAUAGCUGCUUGUAAAUUGGGCAGCCAGUGCUUCUCAUACUCUCAGCUUCGGGAUGUUCCUUGAUGUAGUUGCCCCCAUGUGUCAUCCUUAGCCGUGACAAUGCAUGUGUCUUCAUCCCAAUUAAAGUCACUUUGAUCAAGAAGCGUCUUGACAGUGACAUAUUACAUCCUUAAGACAUCAUACCGAUUCUGCAGUUGCUCCUUCAAUUUUGGGUACUGAGCCCUGGCCCACUUUAACACAAAAUUAUACACUGCAUCCUCUGACGCAACCUGGAGUUCAUCACUAGACAAAAAUGCUUCAGUCUUGACAAGGGGUAAGGCCAUCGCCUCUUCUUGAAACUUGGUUGUGUCUUUGUAACGACUAGCAAGAUAUUGAUUGGUUGCAUCUGUCAAAGGCUGAACUGUCUCAACCAUUAGGGCACUAGAAGGAGGCUCUAGACAGAGCAAUGCAGAUUUCAGGUAUCAUGGAUAAGUUCCUUAAGAGUCUGCUGCAGCUGCGAUUCGGAGACUCUCCACCGUUGAUUUCAUCAUCAUGCUUCGCUUCAGAAUUCUGGACGCCAUGGAUUCAAACCGCGACUGGUUUGGCUUCCUUCAUUGCUUGUCACAACAGACUGCAUGCACCAUUCGUCGCGUACCUCACGACAAAUGUGAGUCUGGUUAAUCCCGUAGGAGGACUCCAAGCAGCAUGCAUAACGUACCUCUUCGGAACAUCACAACGAGACCCACUGGUGCCCUCGUCUGAAUACACCUCCGCAUCUCAUUCAAGUAAUGGGUAUUGGACCCAUGCAUGCAUGCAAAGAUGGAGGAGUGAAGUGGUGAGAGAAAGGAUGUACGGAUUUAGCUGCGAGUAAAGUCACGGGUAUGGGAGGAUGGAUGCGGUGAAGACCUUUGAGGGUGAUGAAAAAUGGUGCAUGGAGUAAGAUAGGCUAAAGUGGAAAUGCGUGGUAGAAUGGGCAAGGAUCUCAUGGGGAGAGUGCAGUCACGCAUAGGGUUAUGGGUAUGAUGGUAUGGGGGAUGGGAUGAUGUAGUUAUGGAGUGGUGUAGUGAGAGGAAAGGUGGUGAAGGGUAUGUGAGGAGGAUGAUGGGUAUGAGAGAAGGGUAUGAUGGGUACCAUGCAUGGGGAUGAAUGGUAUGAAGGAAGAUGGGUAUGGAGGAACAUGAAGGAUGGGUAUUGGAGGAUAUGGGUGAUGAGAAUGAAGUAGGAAACGUGGGUAUUAUGGGUGUGGGAAUUAAGGACGAUGGUGAAUGCGCUUAAUGGGAGAAUAUAGGAUGGAGAACGGGAAAUGGAAGAUGGAGAAUGGAUGAUGAGUGAUGGAGAGCUUGAGGUGGGUUGGAUGGAUGCAUGCAUCGGGCAUGAAGGACGGGUGAGUGGGAUGUGGGUAGUGGGCUUGGAAAAUAGGAACGUGGGUAAGGUGGUGUGGGACCAUGCAUGACUAAAUGGGUUAUCUUUUCCCGGUUUUUUUUAUUUUCCAGAGAUUUGCAGCCAAUUCCUUACUGUCAACAUGAUUACUGCCAACAUCUCAUCUCAGUGCCUUUCAUUAUUCUCACAGUCGCGACCAAAGAACAGUUCACUGUAGGAAACCAUAAAGAAAGACUAUGCUUCGUUGCUACUGACAAGGCAUUAUUUCACUUACCCUGAUUCCAUUUUAAGGCGGGAUAAAACCCGCAACCUGCACCAUCUGCGGAUAUGGUGGAACAAGUCAUCCACCAGAGAAGAAAUGCCUCUCACUGACAGGGUCUGAUGAUGGAGUUGAAAAAUUACGUCUAAAUAAGAAACUGGAAGGAGAGCCUCAAUUUCAUUCUUGGAUUUAACUGCUCAAUCCUUAACAUUCUCACAGCUGUCACCUUCCCCAUCAUAGUCACUUCCACUAACCAUCUUUUCCGGAGGAACACCAUUUUCAUAAAUCCACCAUUACUACCAGCCUCAGGUAGUAAUACGAGAAUCGAAACUCUCCACGACUAGUUCUAGGGAGCAGAGAUGGUAUGGGGGACAAAAUCGUUAAAAAAAAAAAAAAAAAAAGAACAAAAAUCAAAAGAUCCCGGAAUCGUAUAUAUAAAGCUGCGUUCCAUGAAAAACGAACGAGCUCAAAAAUGGUGGAACAAACAGGGGGUCCUCAACACGAGCUGGUAAACAUCAUACUCAAAUCUAGGUAAAGAGUAAUACCCCCAUUGCAAUGAAAAAAAAAAGAUUGAGAGCAUGAGAAGAGAAUAAAACAUAACAUAUAGGAGCAGAUAAUCACAUUUAAACGAAGCAAACCUGUGGCCCUUGAUCGUCCACAGCAAAUCACAAAUAGAUAUUCAUCAGAUUAGCAGAGAAUGAAGUGAGAUUUUAAGAGAUGAAAACGCACCAGAUUCAAAGUGAUGCUACUAAUGGCUCCACAAUGCAACCUUCUCCUCCUCGGCUUGCAAGCUUUCUCUUAGAAAACUCUCCGUGUAGCUUGCUUUCCCCCCAACUCAACCUCUCUGUCAAAAACUCCUCCUGUAGCCCUUCUCUCCCCAACUCUCAAAUAGCUGGCCACCUCUCUCUGCCCUCUCUCUCUACCCUGCAGCAGCUUCUGAAAAGCACCCUACCUCUGGCCAGCUGACCCCCCUGCAAAAAUCCCCUCUAACAGAAAAUAUGCGCUCCUCCUAACGGCCAGAAUAUCUCCAUGCCACGUGUCAAACUCUCACUCGCUCCUCAAUUCCACCAUCUGUUUCUAUGACCACCAACCACAAGACGACACGUGGCCCUAUGGGACUGCGGCACUUGGCAAAAAUGGCUGUAGAAAAUGACACCCAAAUGGGGGUCUACAAAUAUGCCCCUCUUCGGUAGAGUUCACGAGUGUAAGAGAUAUGAACACUGAAGUGAAAAGUAAGUGUGAAUAGUGAGUGGAAUGAAGUGAACUCUACCGAAGAAUCAAAGAGACCCCCAUAGGGACACUGGUGAAACGCAAAGUCACCCAGGCUAGUAGAUGAACACAAAGGCUCUAAUCCUAAAAGAGAAAUGAUGUCACAAAAUGCCUCUGCGGCCAUACUAAGGAUCCAAGCUCCCUCUAAGAUGUCUCCCACCCAUUUACUGCUAAAACAGUGGCAGACAAAUUUGUAUAGGAAUUAUCAAGCUCCACGGGAUGCCCCAGUUCGUCAUUAGUGACCGAGAUCCAAUUUUCAUUAGCAAGUUCUGGCAAGAAUUCUUCAAGAUGUCGGGCACCAAAUUGCAACUCAGUUCCGCAUACCACCCACAGACCGUCGGACAGACGGAAGUUGUCAAUCACUGCCUCAAGCAAUACCUUCGUUGUUUCGUGCACUAGUGGCCACGCAAAUGGAGUUCUUAUUUACCUUGAGCAGAAUAUUGGUAUAAUACCAACUAUCAUAUUUCUACAGGGAUGACCGCAUUCCAGGCACUGUAUGGAAGGCCGCUUCUUGGCAUUCCAUCGUACAUAGGUCUUUCGCUAGUACACGAGGUGGAUCAACAGUUAAUGACUCGCGAUGAACUACUUUAGCAAUUGAAGAUUAACUUAGCAAGCUCAGUUAAUCGAAUGAAACAAAUGGCAGACCACAAGCAGAGGGAUAUUUCGUUGACAUUGGCGAAUGGGUGUUGUUGAAGCUGCAUCCUUACGGCCAACAAACAGCCUUCAAACGGGUCCAACAAACGGCCUUCAAACGGGUCCAUCAGAAAUUGGUUAGUCGUUUUUACGGAUCCUAUGUGAUCUUGAAGAAAUGCGGACCAAUCGCGUACAAAUUAGACUUACCAAAAGGCACGCGCAUCCACCCAGUGUUUCAUGUGUCACUACUUAAAUGAUACCAAGAAAAUGAUGGACUUACGGAGCCACAGUAGACAACGUUGCCACCUAUCUCCGAUGAAGGAGUGGUCGCACUUGAACCGCAAAAGAUUCUGGACACCCGCUUGGUCAAACAGAGAGGCCAACUUGUUGAAGAAAGCCUAGUGCAACGGAAACAUCUACUCUCGAAGGACGCCACUUGGGAACCAACGAAGAAAUUGCUCAACGAAUUCUCACCAACGAUCCUUGAGGACGAGGAUCCACUACACGGGGGAAGUAUUGAUAGGCCACGUCAGUCAACGAGGCCCCGUAAUCCAAAUCCCAAAUACUUGGGAUAAGCUGGACGUGAUCAACAUGAAGUUUGGGUCGUGGGGAACGUUGGAAGUUUACGUUGGAAGUUUACAUAGGAAUGGGUCUUCAGGAGUUACGCAUUUUAUGUCAUUUUCUUUCCGUUAGUGUUGUCUGUUAUAUGCUAUGUUUUAUGUGUUUAAGUUCCGGUUAUUAAGCUACUAGUUUCCCUUCAUUUUUGACAUUAUUGUAAUUGGCUUUGCUUAUUUAAAGCAGCCCAGAAAUUAUCAAGAAGCAGGAGAAAAAUUAUUCAACUAUUAUGGUUCAUUUCUCACCCGAAGAGAAAGUCAUUUACGUUAACAUCUAUCGCAUUUGUUGGGACCUAACAGGGCGCAACUGCUAUCACUACAGCUGGUGAUGUGUUGCUAGUUGCUACAGGGAAUGUGCUGUUGUGGCUGUUGAUGUUGUUGCUUCCUCUUCAAGAAUAUCAACACAAGGUGAGACGAGGGCUUACCCAAAUGAAACCAGAGCAAUCCAAGAAACAAAACUAUCGUGUGGCAUUUCAUCAACCAGGUGGUGGGCAUUAUCAACUGAAAAAAUAUCUCUACUGGAGUUUAUUAUUUUCUAUACAUUGCAUAAACUUUAAAGAUAUUAUGAUCCAUUAACUUUGAACCUUAUUUACACUUGCAUAUGUCUGGGAUUGUGUGUAACAAUUGAUUAACAUUGACUUUUGGGUGUAAAUGUUGUCUAAUUCGUCACUCAGAUAUCAGGUGUGAUUAACCAUGCAUGUCAGAAAUUCUGAAGACUUGAUUGGAUUGAUUUGCUCGUCUGAAAUGUCCAAUCGGCUUGGUCUGUCCAUUCCGUUUGACAUUAUGGAAGAAGGAAAACUUCUCACUUUUGGUGCUAGACGGAGCUUAUCUUUAUCCAGACGGGUUAUAUGUUUGUCCUAAUAAGCCAAAGGGUUUUGAAUUUGAGAAGGACAUGUGGAGGGAAGCUCCCCACAGACAUUAUCAACUGAAAAAGUAUAUCAACUGGAGUUUAUUAUUUUCUAUACAUUGCAUAAGCUUUAAAGAUGUUAUGGUCCAAUAACUUUGAACCUUAUUUUGAAAAUUAAUUUAUAUUCAUUAUUUUUAUAAAUAUAAUAUCAAAUAUAAAUCGAAAAAGUAUAAGUUACAAAUUUCAAAGGGUGUUUAUGAGUGGAUCAAUUUUUGGUCUCAAUUAAAAAAACUAAUUUAAAAUAAUAUAAAUAUAAUAUGUUUUUAGUUUAUUUAUUUAUGGUUAGGGUUAUAAAAUAAAUUGAUAUUUUUUAAUUUUAAAUAAGAAAAACAAAUAAGAUAAAAAAGAAAAAAAAUUAAAGAUCGAACAAUAUAAAAUAUUGAAAGUGAAUGAAUAAAAAUGAAAAAGUUUACAACUCAAAUAAGACCAAUCUAAAAAAUGCAUUACAUAUUAAAAUAUCAUCAUUUUUUUUAUUAAAAUAUACCUAAUGGCAUUUCAUAUUGUUAGAUGGUAAAGGAGAAACUAAAAAAAAUCAUAGAACUAUAGAAUGUAGCACAUGAACUUAGUUUGAUGACCUGAAGUGCACAAGUUGCUUUCAAACCACUGGGACUUGCUUAGGGUUAAAAGUUAAAAAUAGGACCGAUAAUAUUUAAUCAGUAAUAUCAUCUCAAGCCUAUUCCAAAAUAUGGCAACCGGGUAAAAUUAAAAAUUAACUUAAUGCUUAAUAAUUUUUUUUUUAAAAAAAAGAACUUGUUAAAUUUUUUUCUAAAAUCAUUAGAUGUUGUAUAAUUUUUCUAAAAUGAAUGAGAAAAGUUAUAAUGGUGAAGCUCUUGAAAAAGAAGCUUUCAAUUAUGAUCGCACUCCUUCAAAAAAAAAAUCGUUAAAUAUAGAAUAGAAGCAAACUCGUCAAUCAUCACAUAAAAAAACAAUUUCUCCAAAGAGUGCUGACCCUUCAACCCCCAUGAGCUAACCAAGCAGCUCGACCCUAACAUCCUAAGCGAAGCGCAACAGUAGUGAUUCAAGUUUCACAAUCAACACCAAUAAAGACAAGAACAAUUGGCACUCAAAAAAUUUAUUUCCUUUAACUUUUUCCCUUUAAGUUGAAUUUGAUUUUUAAAUGGUGUUAUUUGAUUAAUUAUUUUACAAUAUAUAUAUAUAUAUAUGUUAUAUCUUAAAAAAGGUUAGUAAAUUAUAUUACAAUUAUCAAAUAUAUUACCAUAUAUAAAAUACAACUUAAGAAAUCUUAAGCAUAACACAAAGCACAAGAGCAAGAUAUGUUAAUUUAAGUUACUAAGAGCUUAUUUAGUUGUGUGAUUUAAAAAUAGUUUUCUUAUUUUAAAAAUAAAAAAUUAUUUUAAAAUUUUUUUAACACUAUUUUAAUGUUGUUCUUUGGAAAUAAUUUUUUAAAAUAAAGUAAAAUAGAGAACAAUUUUUAAAGAACAAGUAGGAGUUGUUUCAUCAGUUUUUAAAAAACAAAAAAAUAUAUAAACUCAUUUGAUCAUGUUUUUUUAAAUUUGUUUUUAAAAAUUGUUUUUAAAUUAAAAAAUAAAAAAUAAUUUUUAAAAAUAAGUUUCAGAAAAUAUGACCAAACGAACCCUAAAUGAUUGGAGUUUAUAAUAUUAAAGAGAAAAAAAAGUUAAUUUAAGAGUUUGCAUGUAGGUAGACAUCUAGCUGUAAAACUGGUUUAUUUGAGACACCCAUUUUAUUUAGGGAGAAUUGUGUUUUGGGCCCAACUGGGUCCAAAAAUUAAGAUGUGGUCCAUAUAUUUUACAUAAUUAAGCGCAACACCCAAAGAAAGUCUGAAAAUUGAAAAGAAGGAUAUUGUCCUUCAUUAAUCCCUAAAAUACCCUUAACCCUUACGUAGACAUUUAGUGAGUGUGAAUUUUAAUUUUUUUUGUAUUUUUUUCCCUUUUCUAUUCUCUAUUAAGUAUUACUCAUUUCUAACUUUUUUUUUCUUCCAAUCUAUAUUUCUAUUUUAUGUCAAAUAAAAAGCAAUAAGGUUUUUUUUUUUUUUUUUUUUUUUUCAUUUUUAAAGAUAUUGAAUCUUUUUACUCUUAUUAUAAGCAAGAAUAAAAAUUUUGGGAUUUUUCAUCCAAUUUUUUUAUUUUUUUUAUUUUUUAUCUUUUUGUAUUUAUCUUUUAGUUUAAUUUUCAUUUUUUAUUUUAAAUUUAUAUUACCCUUUCAUUUAUACUUUUCUCUUAUUUUUAAUUAUUUUUUAUUUUCUACAUUAACCAUAUUUUAAAAAAUUUUAAAAUAUACUAUCACUUCACUCUUAUUAUAUAUAUAUAUCCUCCUUUUAGUUUUUAAAUUUUUAAUGUUUUUAUUUUAAAAUUUUUUAAAAGAUAAAUUUAUUGAAAAAAAUAACUAAGAUAUGAAGUUCUAAUAUUAUAUUAAUAAUUUUUCUUAUCCAGAUAGACUAAUGCAAAGUAUUUUGACUCACAACAAGAAAAUUGUUAAUACAAUUUUUUAGUGAAACUUUAAAAAUUAAAUUUCAAAUAAAAUAUAUUAUAUAAAAUUUUAUCUAAAAAUUAUUGAAAGUGGUAUUUAAUUUUUUUUUAUUAACUUUCAAACUUAUCUAAUUUUUUACUUGAAAUGUAAUAGAACAUGUUUACAAAAAAAAUUAGUUUUUCAUUUUUUAAAUAAAUGACUAUAAAUAUAUUAAAAGAAUUAAAGAUAAUUUUAGUAAAAAAUUUAAUAAAUAUGAUUAUAAUUUUAAAUAUAGAUUCAUUUGGAUAAAAUUUCACAAAAAAAAAAAUAGUGAAAAGAAAGAACAUUGCUAAAACUACAAAAACAAAAUAUGAAAUUACAAAAUUUUGAUGAUGAAAUUUAAAAAUAAAAUUUGAAACAAUUCUUGAGUGAGAGAAUUUGAGUGCGGAAAAAUCCUUGAGUGGAAAAAAAUAGAAAAGUUUUUCAAAAUCACUUGAAAUUCUUAACAAAAAGUAGUCUUGUACAGCUGGUGUAAUACCUUUGUACAAUAACUCAAACUUCAUAUAUCAUCUCAUUAAUAUCUAACAAUAAGUCGGUUAACCAUGUUUGCAUUGGUUUUGUUUUAAAAAAGAAGAAAAUUGUUGUAUAAUUUUAUUUUACAAUCAUCAUAAGUGAGGUACCUAUUUAAAUGACCAUAUACAAGUUAGAUAAAGUGUAUGAGAUGAAUAUGUGCUUAAUCAAUGUGUGUAAGGAAUGUCAUCUAUCCUCAGUUAGGGGAAAUAAACAAACAGGUUUUUUAGAAUCACUUAAAAUCCUUUACAAAUAAUAGUCUUGUACCCUUGUACAGUUAGUAUAUUUAUCAUGUACACUUAGUGUAAAUACCUUGUACAGUGACUCAAAUUCCAUAUACCCCCUACUCAAUGUGUAACCAUAGGUAGAUUAACCAUAUUUUCAUUGGUUUGGUUCAAAAAAUAGUGGAAGAUGGAAAAAUAAAAUUUUCUCUCAAACAUCAUUCGUGGGAUAAGUAUUCGAAUUGUCAUAUGCGAGUUAAAUAAAGUGCAUAAGAUGAGUGUGUGAUAGAGGAAUGUGUACCUUGAGAGUGUGCAAUCCUUAGAUGACAAGACAAAAAAAAAAAAGUUGUCCAAAAUUGAUUGAAAUCUUUCACAAAGGAUAGUCUUGUAUACCCCUUGUAUAGUUAGAACAUUUACCAGUAUAGUUAGUAUAACACCCUUGUACAAUGGUGCAAAUUUCAUCCAUAUGCAUACAUUAUGUGCUACAUAUGAUGUGUGAACCAUGUUUCCAAUGGUUUGAUUUAAAAAAUGAUAUAAAACAUAAAAACAAAAUUUUUCCCUAAAUAUAAUUAUUAAGGUAAAUAUUUGAAUUGUUAUAUGCGAGUUAAAUAAAGUACAUGAAUUAAAAGAAUUUGUGGUAGAAGAGCGUACAAUCCAUAGAUGACAAGAAAAAAAAAAGUUGUUCAAAAUGUACAGUCUUGUACACCUCUUGUACAAUUAGUGUAAUAACCUUGUAUAAUGAUAUAGAUUUCACAUAUAUGCAUAAAUUAUAUCCACAUGAGUGUGUAAACUAUGUUCCCAAUAGUUUGACAUUUAAAAUAAUUAAAACAAAUAAAAUGUUAUUUUAUUUUAUUUUCAAAACUAUGUUAGCUAAUUGUUCUUUUAAAAUAACAAGAUCAUAAUCUAUAUUAUAUAUACCAUGAGGAUAAGGAAUAAAAGACAUUAAUUCAUAUCAAAUAAGCAGAGUAAAUAAAGAUUUAGAAUAAAUUAAGCAAAAUUAAUCAGGCUUUAAAUGGGGUAAGAUAAAUUUUGGUACUCUGAAAAUUAAUUUGAAUCUACAGUCUCAUUUCCUAAUUAAUAUACUGCAAUACACAGAGAGACUUUGACACCAACUUUUCCCAUCAGCAGUUUCAACAACAGUUUGUUAGUCAAAGUAAUGGUAGGGGUUUUUGAAAUCUCCGUUAGCAAUGAAAGUUUAAUGAAAAUUUUAUAUUGAAUUAAAGUGUGAACGCAUUUAUUGCUAACAUUAAAAUAAUAUAGACAUUUCCAAAUACUUAAUAUUUUAAUAUAAAAUUUUCAAACACUCAUUAAAAUAAUAUAAAAGGUUUCAGACAAUUAUUAUUUUAAUAUAUAUUUAACUUAAGGUUCUGUGCUUAUAGUGUGAAACCAUUUAAUGUAUAAAAAUUAAGUUUUUGAAAUCGGAUAUCUCAAAAAUUCAGGUAAUAAAAUUCAAAAAUUUUUAAAACGUCACUUCGUGUCAAGGUAAUACCCCCCUUCUGACCAGACAGAGUCUCCCUAACAUGCCAAUUUUCAGGCAAAAACGGGUUUAAGGUUAAGGGUUAAGACUAAAGACUCUAGUUUUAAAACAUGAUUUUACACCCAAAAUUUUCUAAAUAACCCGAUUUUUUUUUUUUAUGUUGAUGAGAACAUUAUAUAAAAAGGAUCCACAUAUAUUACAUAUAUUAAAUAGUAAAGAAAACUUAAAAAUAAUUCAAAUAAUUUUCUUUUCCAUACUUUACCUUUUUACCCCUUUUACCCCUUAAGGGUAAGAAAAAUACAUAAUAAAAUAAAUUCUAAAUGAAAGCAAAAAUUUAACAGAAAAUUAAUUCUUACUUUCUUAUUGAUUGCUGAUAAAUGUACAAAACACAAAUUAUUAAAAAAUAAAACCGAUAAAUAUAUGCACUUAGGAAUAAUUUUAAUAGGAAUAAUAGGACUUCAUCGUAAAGAAAUUGGAGCACUUAUAAAUAUUAACCUUUUAGAUACUAGAAACAAUAUAGUAAGACGAGCUCUUUUAGCUAGUGCAGAAGUUAAUAUGAACCAAAAUUAUGCAGUUAUUGAUUGUAUACCUCAAUUUUGUAUAGAUCUUAAGGAAUUCACAGAAAAAAUAAAAAUAACUGUAAAUACUAAAGGUUAUGAUAUGGAAUUAGGAAGUAAAAACCUUAGCAUAGCUAUAGGAUUUAUAGGAAAAACUACUAACGCUUUAAGUUUAAAAUGUAUAAUGGAAUUCGAUGAUAUAGUAAAAACCUUUGGAAGUAAGACAGUAAAUAUGAUAGAAGCAAAACCUGUAAAUAUAGACUAUUUACUAGGACGAGAGUGGGAAUUACCUUAAAUAAAUAAACCAAUAAUAAAAUAUCCAACAUCCAGUAGCUUAUAUGAAAACCAAGAUGGAAGUGCAAGUAUAACCUUUGGAAAUUAUAAAACUGUAAAUGUAGAGGUAGAGUCAGAUAGUGAGAUAGAAACUGUGAAUGUUAUAUAAGAAGAUAUUUUACUAAACAUUGAGACAGUAGAAAACCUAUACAAAAUCUUAGAGUUAGUAAAUAUAAUGUUAGAGGAAUUUAGUAAUCCAACAUUACUAGACGAACAAGUGGAUCAAGAAAACUUUGUUAAUAUAAUGUGUAAAAACUAUACAAAUGACCAAAUAAUAGAACAACUCUAUAAAACCAAUUUAAUCAAAAAAACUUAUAGAUAUAGAAAUGAUAAAUCAAUUUACUAUUCAACCAAAAGUUAACAUCUCAAACGAAUCAAUAAAUACAAUAAAUGAAGAAAAGGAAUUUGUAAAUGUAAGAAGUGAAAUAGUAAAAUAUAAUAAGCCGUAUAGCAAGCCAAAAGGACCUCAAUGGAAAACUAAAACAGAACCUUAUAGUUUUUUGCAACCAGUAUAUAAUUCUUUGCAACCUGUAUUAUUAGAUAUAGAUAGUGCGCAAGAUCUUAGAAAAACCAUAGAAAAUUGGAAGCAAUCUUUAAAUUCAGCAGGUGUGGUAGUAUCCUUUGAAAACCAACAAGAAAUUUACGAAUUUUGUAAAAACACCCUUAGAGGAACUGUACUACAAUUUUUUAGAAACAUGGAACAAGAAAACAACAGUUAUUUUCAAGAAGUUAGAAAUAAUUUUAGCAUAUCUGUAUUUACAAAUCUAAUAAAACUUUAUUUUUUGGGAACAACACAAGAAGAUGUAAAAGAACCUGCAAUAUACUUUCAUAAGUUAGAACAAUUGAAAUUAUGUAACCUUUCAUAUAUAAGGGAAUAUGAACAAAAAUUUAGGAAAUAUGCAAUCCUUGCUAGAGUAGACAGAACCCCUGAAUAUUUAAAUAAAUAUAUAUUAAAAAUACAAGGAUCUGUAGGACUUAGACUAUGGAAUGAAUUUACAACUUCCGAGUAUAAAAAUUCUCCUUAUAUAGGUGCUAGAAUAGAAUUUGUAAAAAAUUGGUUAGAAAGAGAAUGUGUAAGCAUAGGAGAAAGAAGUCAAAUAAAGAAACAAGACAUAAAUCAACAACUUUGUAGAAAAUUACAUAUAGGAGAAAACCUAGAUAUAGGAUGUAGAGAAUAUAAGUUUAGAAAACCUAAGAGAUAUAAUAAAUUUUUAAGAAGAAAGUCAAGAACCUUUUAUAAAAAAACGACCAUAUUAGACAAAAUAUAAAAAACCUGGAAAGUUUUGGAUAAAAAGAAAAAGAACCUCAGAAAGAAAAAGACAGUGUAAAUGUUAUUUGUGUGGUCAGGAAGGCCAUAUAAGACUUGAAUGUCCUGAACUUAAAAAACUAUUAAAUGAACGAAAUAUAAAAACCCAAGUAAAAAUAAACCUAAUAAAUGAGUAUCAGCUAGAUAGUGAAGAAGAAGAACUUAUCAAUGAAUUAGACUUUGAAAGUGAAAAUUCAAGUGUAUAUAGUAUAGAAGAUAGUGAAAAUGAAAAAGAAGAAAUUUGUAUGAUUAUUGAAAAAGAGGAAAAUCAAGCUAAGAAAACCCCUUUAAAUUUAGAAAACCUUGUACAACCUUUAGAAAGUAAAAUAAAACCUUAUAAUAUAUGGAAAGAUUUACAAAUAAUAAUCAAAGGAAAAUUUUCAAAAGAAGAAGAAGAUAGUUGUUCAAAACCUAAGGACACAGAAGAACCAAAAAGUCCUGUAAAAGAACCAAUGAAUCCUGAAAAAAUAACCAUACAAACAAUAGAACAAGUAAAUAUGGCAAAUAAAGUUAAAUCUAUUAUUUUUCCAACAACAAUUAAAUUAAAAACCAUAGAAUUAAAGGUAGACGCAAUGUUAGAUACUGGAGCCAGUAAAAACCUUUUAUUUGAAACCCUAGUCCCUCAAGAAGAUCAACAAACAUUAGUUCAACCAGUAGAGUUAAUCCAAUACAAUCAACAAAAACUAAUACUAACCAAGUAUAUUUCAAACGUACCAAUCAUAAUUAAUAACAUAACCUUAGUAUUGCCCCAAACUUAUCUUGUACCUACUAUAAGUUUAUAUCCUUUUAUUUUAGGUUUAAAUUUUGUACAUUCUUUACAAGGAGGGAUAACAAUACAAAAUAACCAAGUUAGUUUUCAUCCUAAAACCACAACAAUUGUUUAUACAAACAUGGAAAAUGUAUUAAAUAAAAAUCAGAAUGUAACAUCUCAUCAAAUUAGCAAAAUGGAGGCACAAAAGGAUAACAUAAUUAAUGACUACUCAGAACAAUUAAGAAAUGCAAAUAGAUUAAAAAACCUUAUAUUAGAAGCAGAAAAAAUAGGAAUUAUAGGGGAAGACCCACAAAAACAUUGGAAUAAAAAUAAGAAAACCUGUAAAAUACCAAUUUAAAACCCAGAUUUAACAAUAAAAACGGCAGAUAUAGCAUGUAAUCUUAAGAUACAAAGGAAUUCAAAAUUCAAAUAGAAGAACUAUUACAUAAUAAGCUCAUAAAACCAAGUUUCAGUCCCCAUAGAUCCUCAGCUUUUUUAGUUAGAAACCAUAAUGAAGAAAAACGAGAAAAAGUUAGGAUGGUUAUUAAUUAUAAAAGAUUGAAUGAUAAUACAUAUGAUGAUGCCUAUAAAAUUCAAAAUAAAGAUUCUUUAAUUAAUUCUAUUCAAGGAUGUAAAUAUUUUUCUCAAUUAGACUGUAAAAGUGGAUUUUGGCAAAUUAGAUUAGAAGAAGAUAGUAAACCAUGGACAACGUUUUCAUGUCCUUGUGGAUUAUAUGAAUGGAAUGUAAUGUCAUUUGAACUAAAAAAUGUUCCACAGAUAUUCCGACGAAUGAUGAAUAAUAUUUUUGAAAAAUAUUCUUUUGUUCUUGUAUAUAUUGAUGAUAUUCUUGUCUUUUCAUAUACUCUUCAGGAACACAUAAAGCAUUUAGAAUUGAUUUUUGAAAAACUAGUUAGUCAUGGAUUAAUAGUAAGUAAAAAGAAAUUGAAAUUAUUUAAGACUCAAAUAGAAUUUUUAGGAUUAGAAUUAGAGGAUGGACAAAUAAAAUUACAAGAACAUAUAGUACAAAAAAUAAAUAAUUUUCCAGACAAACUCGAAGACUUAAAAACCUUUCAAAGUUUUUUAGGAUUAUUAAAUUAUGCUAGGCCAUAUAUUAAAAACCUUAGUAGAUUAGUUGGACCCCUUUAUAGUAAAACAAAAAACACAGGGUAGAGAUAUUUUAACUAAGAAGAUAUUAAACUUAUACAGAAAAUAAAAGAACUUGUGAAACAUCUCCCAACCUUACAUUUACCCUUAGAAAAUGAAUAUAAAAUAGUUCAAACUGAUGCUAGUCAAACAGGAUGGGGAGGUAUACUUUUAGCAAUAACUAAUAUAGGAGAAGAAAAACUUUGUAGAUAUUGUAGUGGAACUUUUAAUGAUUAUCAAAAGAACCUUAGUUCUACAUACUUAGAAAUUAAAGCAAUAAUAUUAGUCUUAGAAAAAUUUCAAUUAUUUUUGAACCAAGAACAAUUUACUUUAAGAACCGAUUGUGAGAAUAUUAAAAAAUUCUUUGAAAACAAAAAUUCUUCAAAACUGUCCACCAAAAGAUGGAUAAAGUUUCAAAACUCUUUAAUUGAUUUCAAACCUAAAUUUGAACAUAUUAAAGGAAAAGAUAAUAUACUAGCAGACUAGUUAAGUAGACAAAUAAUUAAUAAUGUUGAUGAUACUAAUGAUUGAUUUCAUGAUUACAAGAACAUGGCUCAAAGAAAACCUACGAAAGCUAGAACCUUUCAAUAUGGAACCAUUUGUCUGAACGAAGUGUUAAAUCCAAAUAUGAGGUUUAACUCUUUAUUUUCUCAAAACCUUUUUGAAGAACAUAAGGUUAUUGUAGAUAAUUUUUUGUCUCUAAAACCACAAAGUUUUUCGAACCAAAAUUUAGAAUACGCUUAUGGAAAAACAGUGUUAGCUUUAGCCCAACAUUUACAAAACCUUCAAAACCAACUGAUUGCUUUAGAAACCCAAAAAUUCCAAAACCUCAAAAUCCAAGAAAAUCAAGAAAAACUGAUAGAAUAUUUGAAAACCAGUACAGUGUCAACCAAUCAAACCAGUUGUUCGAACAAUCAACUUGAAGUAAUUAGUUUAAUUAAGAAAUCAACUCUUCUGAUUGAACAAUAUGAAAAGCUUGUUGUUAAAAACAUAAUUGGAGUUGAUAACUACUCUUUCGUCAAAACCUUUUUCCUACAAAAUCAAUAUAACAAAGUAUUUAAAAAUCAAGAACUUUUGUAUAAACAUUUUAGAACCAAAAAUGCCGGGAUAAAAACAGGGUAUAUGGCAUAUCACGACCCUGAAUUUUUCUUUGUUAUAUAUUUAGCUUAUGUAAAUAUGUCUGUUAUAAAUAUAGAAAAUUUUGAUUUAGUACCACAACUCAUGGAUCAGGGAAUUUUAAAAAAUGUUUUUAUAAACCAUAUAUCUCAAAUCCCUAAAAAUUUCCUAGAAAAAUUGAAAGAUAUUUUAACUUAUUUUUUUAAAACCGAAAAAUAUAUAGAUAUUUCUUUUGAAACCAUUUCACCUUUAUUUCAACCCGAUGGAUCAGUAGUACCAGCCUAUCAUCAUGUAUAUAUAAAACAUAAUAAAGAACAACUCAUCCCUCGAUAAGAACCAGAAUGGGAAAUGAUCCGUUUAGAUGAAUUUCCAGAAUUUUUUACUCACUUUAGAGCUUUUCAAAUCUAUGAUCUUAGACCAACCCGGAAUAAAUUAUUUCAUCUCAUUGGUUAAACAAAAACCAUGUCUAUAUGGAGAGUAAAACCUUUAGAACACAUUAUUGUUCCAAAACCUUUUAUUACUUUUGAAGAACAAGAUUUUAUAACCAAACUCAGUGUAGAUAUACCGGAACCAUCUUCCUACCUCAGCGAUGACGCAUUAUUUUGGGACAACCUGGACGAUGAAAGUUAUCAUAAUUUACAAAAUGCAAUGGAAGGGUGAUGUUAGCAAUGACGACAUUGAGGCAGUAAAUGCGUCUUCAACUACAAAAAUUCAAUGUGGCAGUACAAGUUCAGAAGCAGUAAAGACAUCUACAGGCCACGUAUUAUGCAUGUGAUAAAAAGAGAGAAGAAAAGGACAAGAAAAAAAGACAAGAAGGAAGAGAAGAACAGGUGAAUAAACAAAAGUCAAAAGUCUCAGAAGUCUUUUAUCAUCUUUGUAUUUAUUUUAUACCAAACCUCUAAACACCGUAAAUAUUUUUCCUACCGUCCAACCACUUGAAUUUAAUUCUCACCUGUAUUGUCACCUGUCACUUGUAAAUACUUUGCCUAUAAAUUAGUGGUAGUAAAAGAAAAGAAGUGUGCUCGAGAAAGUGUGUCCGAAGGUGUGUGCAACAUAGUGUAAAGUUGUCUGUGAAAGAAAACUGUAUCUUCAACCUUGUACAUUUAUCAUCAAUCAAUAAGAAAGUAAGAAUUAAUUUUCUGUUAAAUUUUUGCUUUCAUUUAGAAUAUAUUUUAUUAUGUAUUUUUCUUACCCUUAGAAAGUAUUUUUUUAAAUAGUUUUUUAACAAUAUUUUUCUUUAGUUAUAAUUUAAAAUAGAAAAUAAUGCUAAUUUUCAAUUAGUUAUAAAUAAAAUAAAAUUUAAAAACAAUGAAAAAUCUAAAUUAUUAAAAUAGAAUUAUUAUAGUUGCAUGAAUAGUGGUGCAAUAAAGACCAAAAAAGCUUAUGUGAAAGAUCAUUGGGUGUUUUAGUCCAUUAUUAUUUUAUAUCCUUAAAAGGUAAUAUAUGGAAAUUUAAAGGGCAUAUUGGUCUCUUAACAUCUUAUAUCAUUUCCAUUAAUUAUGUAAGUUAUAUGGACCAAAUGUUAAUUUUUGAACUCAAUUGGACUCAAAACACAAUUGUCCCUUUUAUUUAUACAUUCUUCUGGCAUUGACCACGUGUUUAGGAUGUGUUGCACUAAAAUCUCAUGAUAAACUUGCAGUUCAAAAUCACAAACUAGAUGUAUGUAUUAGAAACAGACCAUAUUGGGUCAUGCACAUUCUUCGUCAUUUUCUAUUUCUUAGCAACAUAUAUGACCAAAUGAAAUUAUUAUACCCUAAUUAUAUUUUUUUAACUAGGUGAUAAAGAUAAUUAAAAUAUUAUUAGAAAAAACAAUCAUAUAGGUUUAAAUAGAAUUUCACACUUAGCCGUAUGAUAACAAAUUUUGUCAAUUAAAUAAAUACAACUUAAAAUAACAAAUUAAAUAAAAAAAAUGAAUAGUUCAAUUUUAAAAUUUUUACUCCUACAAAUUCACUAAUGAUUAAAAAUAUUGCAUUUAAAAAAAAAAAAACAAAUCACUUUUUGCUUUCACAGUCUAUAUGACAUUCCAACCUUAGAUCCCAUAGUUUGAGUAAGUUUGAGGCUAGAUUUGAGACAACCCAGUGAUACUACUUCGGUUAGUUCACACAAAUUCAAUAGAUUAUCACAUAACUAGUGCAUGCAUUAUCUUGCCUAGAAUAAUAUCUUAAUAUAACUUGGGCAAAAUCAGAGAGAAGUGGUGUUUAUUGUAGUGAGAAAUCAGAGGGAAAUCAUUGAAUGAUUUAUAGGUUGUGAAAUUAGAGAGAAAAAGAUGAGCUUUGCUGGUUUGAAAUCUAGAGUCUCUGAAGACAAGCAAAGAGCAAGAUUAUGAGAAAGGGUAACUUGAGCCUCAAAAAUAUGUAAAUAUAUAAAUUUGGCAUCUAUGAAAUCGGUCAGGCCAUAAUCAACAUGUACAGUCACAACUUUUUGUUGAGACAUGUGCCUCUCAGAACAUUUGAAGUUAAGAUGUUUGUCUUCAAUUUGAUUGCUCUUUGUGACUUUGAGAUUCUCAUUCCUUUUGAUGUAAAAAAAAGAAAAAAAAAAAAAAAGAAUUAAAAGAUGUAGGGUAAAAUGUUAAAUAGUGUGAGUUUGAAUUAAUAAAGUUUUAAUCAAAAUUGGAAAUUAAGGUGAAGUAUCUAAUUUGCCUUGAUCACAAAGGAAGCAAAGAUUGACCAAUCAGAGCUUUGAGUCUUUCACUAAUCAUAUGAUGGUUUCACUUUUAAUUGUUUGAGAUAUUCCAUAUAGAUAUCCAUCAAACCUAAGGAUAAGACAUUAAAUUGUGUAAUUUUUGUAUAAUGAACUAGUUCACAAAAUGUUUAAUACUUCAAAAGUGAUAACUUACGAAGUAAAGAAUCAAUCCCAACAACUUUAGUUAGCAAAAUAAUGUCGUAAUUCUAUUUUUAACUCAUUUGAAAUACUUCUCAAAACAAUAUUCCGAAGGACAAAAAAAAUUGAAUUUAUAAUGUAGUUUCCUACAUAAUUUGAUUUCUUAUUCUUGCUUCGAGAAUCUAUCUCUUUUUUACACCAACAAAUAUGUAUAGUACAAAAUAAAAUAAAGUGUGAGGCACCGCUUUAAUCAGAAUAAUUAAUUGAAAUGAAAUGUUUGACUUGCCUUGAUUAAUAAGGACUUUCAUGGCUGACCUGAUAGAGGUUGGGCUCUUAAUGUCAUCCAUUCAGCAAUGUAUCAUACCCUACCAAAGCUUGAUCAAGUCUAAGGCUAAGCUGUAAUUGGUUUAGCUAGGAAAAAAAAAGAGAAGAAAAACGAGAUCAUUAGAAAGAAUUUUCAGUCCCUUUAAAUCACUUAGCCAUAUAAUAAAGGAUCGUAGCUCACAAAAAACUUGAGAUAAAUGUUUAGUAUCUUCUCCAGCAUAUCCAUUCAACAAAUUUGCAAAAAAGCUCCAACCGGUUGUGCAUAUGGUCCUCUUCAUCAUCUUGGGCAUCAACAACAUUACUGUCAAUAUUCUGUGUCCAUUGGAGAAUCGCUAUGCUCAGUGCACUGUGUACAGUCAUAGCUUGUUUGUGCAUUAGAAUUAGCAUCUUCUGCUGCUGAUCUGGUAUCACAACUUCUCUGCUCAUCAUUGUACUCUAUCAUUGUCUGAUGGUCGCGCUUGGUCGCUUCUGGGUUGUCACAGCUUCUCUGAGCAUCAGUACUGGUAUCUUCUGGGAUGUUUCUGUUGAUAACAUCACCUGUAUAUAUAAGAUGGAACCCCCACUCUUUCACUUCGACUGGUGUACCGUCAAAGCUACGAAAUGAAGCCUUCAAACGUCUCCAUUCGUUUGACCAAUACUGGUUGUUAAUAGCAACCUUGGGAUAACAAGUCACACACAUUUGACUUGAUUCACCACAAAUUCGGCAGCUAUAAAACAGGACAUCAUCCACGUCACAGCAUUCAGAUUGAUCACCACAGAUAUUGAGUUCGCAAUUCAACCCAUCACAAGCAAUAGGAGUAAAAACAGAGUAGAAAGCAAAUCCUAAGAAGUCAUUAUUUCUGUACCAAUCCAUAGGAAGCUCUAUUGUUAUUUGAGACCCUUUUUUUUGCUGGCUUGUCCACUCUGGAAUUCCAUUAUUUCCCGAAAUUACAACUCUGAUUGCCUUAAUCCAAUAGAAGCCGCAUUCAAAUUCCUGCACAGAAGUACAGUGUUAAUACUCUGUGUUCAUAAGGAAAAAGGGCUGAAUGUUAUGAAAAUCAUACCUCAAUUGUUGAUUUAAAGCAUUUGAACAGAGAAAAACCAAGUAGACUUGAUGGACUUGAUAAAGUUUCUAAGCAUGUGCAACUGUGGACUUCUAGAACUCGUAAACUUGGCAGAAGCUCUGGAACUUGUAGAAGCCUCUGGCAGUGACUCAAGUCAAGGACUCUCAGUUUGGAAAGUUGAAUGAUGCCUGCAAGUAUGCUACUAAAACAGUCCAUGCUUAGAUUUAGACCUGAAGCGUGCAAACACUCUAAACAUUGCAAACUCCUCACGUUCUCGGGAAAUUCCUCAAGUUUUGUACAGAAACUGACAUCUAGAAUUUUGAGAGAACUCAAAUUACAAAUGGUCUCUGGAAGACUCACAAGGUUGGUGCAAUCUGCAAGAUUCAAACAUUGAAGCCCUCUUAAAUAUUGAAUUGACGCUGGUAGUUCUUCUAUAGCAGUUCCAUCUAAAUGAAGCUUUCUUAAAUUUUCCACAUCCUCAAGGAUUUCUGGAAAGCUCCUUAAUCAUGAACAGCCUGAGCAGUCGAGAGUUGUAAGGGAUUUCAACUCACAUAUGCUACUGGGAAGAUGCUCAAGGUUUUUGCAUUCUCGCAAGCACAAGCUAUCAAGUUCUAAGGGACACUCAAUAGUGGGUAGUUCAUUGAUGGCAUUUCCCUUUAAACAAAGCUUCCGUCUGGAUUGCACAUCCUCUUAACAUUCCUGGCAAAUGGUGGGUAUCAUUGCUUUACCAUUGUUCUUUUCAUGAUCAUGGGCAUAUAUAAGAUGGAUCCCACACUCUUCCACUUUCAUUGCUUUACCACAUAAGAAGCCACAAAAUGAAGCGGUCAACUGCCUCCACCUCCGUUUAUUUGAGUGAUACUUCUCAAUCUCCACCUUGGGAUAAUAAAUCAUCCACAUAUUUGGUACAACAUCAUAGCAGUGAAACGUGGGAUAAAACCGGAGUUCAUCCACAAACUGAGAUUCAUGAGCACGCAAAGUCAAACCACACUUGAGGGAAGUUGCAUAAUUCUCCAGUGUCUCCUCAGAUUCAUUAUCAAGUGGAUCAUAGAGAGAGUACAAAACAAAACCCAACAAGUCGUUAUUUUUAUACCAAUUUUCAGGAAGCUCUGCUACCACUUUAGCUCCCUUUUUGUGAUGGCUUAUCCAUUUUGGAAUUCCACAACUUCCUGAAAUAAUAAGAUGUACUCGGGCAAAACGGUUUUCUCUAGGAUAAAUCCUGCAUUCAAAAUCCUGCACAAAAUUUAAUUAACGCGUAAAUCCCCAUGUCUCCAUAGAAAAAGUUUUGUUCUAUGAAUAUCAUACCUGAAUCAAUGAUUUGAAGCAGUUGAAUAGAGAAGACCAGAGUAGACCGGAAGAAGUUUCCAGCCGUGUGCACUCAUGUACAUCUAAGACACGCAAACUGGAUGGAAGCGCUGGAAUUUGUCGAAGCUCUUGACAGUGACCCAAGUCAAGGAGUCUCAGCAUAGAAAGUUGAUUGACCCCAGAAGGUAUGCUCCUAAAAAGAUUCCCGGUUAGAAGUAAUUGUCGCAGAGAUGAUAGGUGGCAAAUUUCAGUGGGGAUUCCUCCUUCAUCUAUACUGCAGAAAGAUAGAUCUAACACUUCCAACGAGUACAAGCAGCAAAUAUCACUCAGGAUUUCUCCUUGUAUUAGCUUUGACCCAGUUAGAAUUAAAUUCUUUAAGGAGCAUAAACCCGACAAAGAAAGCAAUUGGCAACAUGUUGAAUUUAAGCCACAAGCACGGAGAUGCUUCAAGCUUUGCAGCCUCCCUAGGUUUUGUGGCAAUUUGUGGAGUUUUGAACAGUAACUGACAUUGAGAACUUCAAGAAAGCAUAAAUUACAAAUGCUUUCUGGAAGAGUCACAAGGUUUUCGCAGCGGUCCAGAUUCAAAACUUCAAGCCUAUUCAAAUGUUCGAUUGAUGAUGGUAGCUCUUUUAUAGCCGUUUCGUUCAAGUGAAGCUCCCUUAAGUUUUCCAUAUUCUCCAAGAUUUCUGGAAAGUACUGUAAUUGUGAACAGUGAGAGCAAAAGAGAGAUUUUAGGGAUUUGAACUCCCAAAUGCUUGUUGGCAGACUCUCAAGGUUUUUGCACUCUCGCAAACAUAAGGUAUCAAAUUCAGAGGCAUGCUCAAUGGGUAGUAGGCUGAUUGUCUGACCCUUUAAACAAAGCUUUCGGUGUUCCACGUUCCUCUGACAAUCCAAGCAUCUAGCAUCCACAUCCUCAGUCUGUACUACUAUUGGAUCUUGGGAGUAUAUAGGUUGGAGCCCACACUUGAGCACCUUAAAAUGACUCUGAGGGUCCUUAAAUGUAGCCGCAAGAUACAUGAAUGGAUUGGUGGGACCGCUCUCCAGAAUAGCAGCCUUGGGAUAGAAUAUCACCCACAUUUGUUCUGAUACACCUCCAUUAUGGUAGCAUUUACAAGUAGAGCGAAAACUGAGAUGUCGCACACACAGGGAAGAAGAUCCAUAUCCUUCACUCAAUGACAGUUGACAUUGUAACUCAGUGGAGAUUGAAGAUUCAGCUUCAAGUAAAUCAUCAGAUUCAUUCUCCAAUGUAUGUGCAAAAUCAUUUUCUGGUAUAUCCUCACAUUCAUCGAGUGGAGCAUAAACACAGCAUAUAGCAAUCCCCAAGAAGUCAUCAUUUUCAUAACAAUUCUGAGGAAGCUCCAUUGUGAUUCGAUAUCCCUCUCUCUGAUUCCUUAUCCACUUGGGAAUUCCACUGCUUCCCGGAACAACAAUACAGAUUCCAUCGCCAAUGUAGUCGGAAUUAGGGAGAAAUACUCCAUUUGAACUCUUCUCGUGUUUCAAAUCCUGCACAAAUGGACAAUGUAAAUCUAGUGGGUCUGUGUCAUUAUGUGAGUUUUUAUGAGAGAGUUUGUUAUCAGUUUUCGAUAAAUUGAUUCCCAGUUUUAACUUUCUUUGAUCUAUGCUCCUGAAUCUACUUAAUAUCCCUUUUAGAUGAUGGAUAAUCAAUGAACAUGAAAGUGAGUGACAAGAUUAAGUGUGAAAACUGGAAGUGAGGGGAAACUGAAACUGGAAAGUGAGUAGAAUAAGCAGAUCUCUUCUUCACUUGCAGUAGCUCCUUCUCCAUUCAGAUUCAGAGAUCUUAGAAUUGUAGCUUCAACUUAACUCUCAGAAUCUUAAAGACAAAGUUCGCUCAAGUUUCAAAAACUCAUAGAAAAAUUUCGCCUCAUGUUUCUCUUAAUCCCAUGAGGCGAGAGACAUGCAGCACAUGCUUAUUGGCUUUUUUCCAUGCAAGUUUCAAGGUGGAGCAUCUAAUGAACUAAAACAUUCCUUCAAAUCCUAGUGGAAAUUCACACUAGAAAUUUCAGAAUUUGCUAAAGAAAGGUUUAAUUCAUUUUAUCCAUGAAUAAAAAAUCAUGUGAGGGCAUUUUAACUUCCUAAUAAUUAUUAUAUUAAACUAUAAUUCUCAUUAUUUAAACUCGUGAUCUGUAACUUUAUCAUCACAUUUUGAAGAGACUUUCGUCAUCUCUUCCAUGAAUUAAUUGAUGUUUAAGGAGGUAUAAUAAACUUUUAAUUGAAUUUAACAUUAUUUCUAUCCUUAUACUCAUCUUAAACUCUAAUUUUUUUUUUUUACUCUUAUCAAAAAAAAUAAAAACUUAACAGAAAAAAAAAAUUUCAAUUACUCCGUGUUCACGAGGAAAAAUGGCUGAAUGUUAUGAAAAUCAUACCUCAAUUGUUGAUUUAAAGCAUUUGAACAGAGAAACACCAAGUAGACUUGAUGGACUUGAUAAAGUUUCCAAGCAUGUGCAACUGUGGACAUCUAGAACUCGUAAACUUGGCGUAAGCUCUGGAACUUGUAGAGGCCCCUGGCAGUGACUCAAUUCAACGACUCUCAGUUUAGAAAGUUGAAUGAUGCCUGCAAGUAUGCUACUAAAACAGUCCAUGCUUAGAUUUAGACCUGAAGCAUGCAAACACUCUAAACAUUGCAAACUCCUCAGGUUCUUGGGAAAUUCCUCAAGUUUUGUACAGAAACUGACAUCUAGAAUUUUAAGAGAACUCAAAUUACAAAUGGUCUCUGGAAGACUCACAAGGUUGGUGCAAUCUGCAAGAUUCAAACAUUGAAGCCCUCUUAAAUAUUGAAUUGAUGCUGGUAGUUCUUUUAUAGCAGUUCCAUCUAAAUGAAGAUUUCUUAAAUUUUCCACAUCCUCAAGGAUUUCUGGAAAGCUCCUUAAUCGUGAACAGCCUGAGCAGUUGAGAGUUGUAAGGGAUUUCAACUCACAAAUGCUACUGGGAAGACGCUCAAGGUUUUUGCAUUCUCGCAAACAUAAGCUAUCAAAUUCUAAGGGACACUCAAUAGUGGGUAGUUCAUUGAUGGCACUUCCCUUUAAACAAAGCUUCCGUCGGGAUUGCACAUCCGCUUGACAUUUCCGGCAAAUGGUGGGUAUCAUUGCUUUACCAUUGUUCUUUUCAUGAUCAUGGGCAUAUAUAAGAUGGAUCCCACACUCUUCCACUUUCAUUGCUUUACCAUGUGAGAAGCCACAAAAUGAAGCCGUCAACUGCCUCCAUUUAUUUGAGUGAUACUUCUUCUCAAUCACCACCUUUGCAUAAUAAAUCAUCCACAUUUUUGGUACAACAUCAUAGCAGCGAAACGAUGGAUAAAACUGGAGUUCAUCCACAAACUGAGAUUCAUGAGCACGCAAAGUCAAAGAACACUUGAGGUAAGCUGCAUCAUUCUCCAGUGUCUCCUCAGAUUCAUUAUCAAGUGGAUCAUAAAGAGAGUACAAAACAAAACCCAACAAGUCGUUAUUUUUAUACCAAUUUUCAGGAAGCUUUGCUACCACUUUAGCUCCCUUUUUGUGAUGGCUUAUCCAUUUUGGAAUUCCACAACUUCCUGAAAUAAUAAGAUUUACUCGGGCAAAAAGGCUGUCUCUAGGAUAAAUCCUGCAUUCAAAAUCCUGCACAAAAUUUAAUUAACACGUAAAUCCCCAUGUCUCCAUAGAAAAAGUUUUGUUCUAUGAAUAUCAUACCUGAAUCAAUGAUUUGAAGCAGUUGAAUAGAGAAGACCAGAGUAGACCCGAAGAAGUUUCCAGCCAUGGGCACUCAUGUACAUCUAAGACACGCAAACUGGAUGGAAGCGCUGGAAUUUGUCGAAGCUCUUGACAGUGACCCAAGUUAAGGAUUCUCAGCAUAGAAAGUUGAUUGACCCCAGAAGGUAUGCUCCUAAAAAGAUUCCCACUUAGAUGUAAAUGUUGCAGAGAUGAUAGGUGGCAAAUUUCAGUGGGGAUUCCUCCUUCAUCUAUUCUGCAGAAAGAUAGAUCUAACACUUCCAACGAGUACAAGCAGCAAAUAUCACUCAGGACUACUCCUUGCAUUAGCUUUGACCCAGGUAGAAUUAAAUUCUUUAAGGAGCAUAAACCCAACAAAGAAACCAAUUGGCAACAUGUUGAAUUUAAGCCACAAGCACAGAGAUGCUUCAAGCUUUGCAGCCUCCCCAGGUUUUGUGGCAAUUUGUGGAGUUUUGAACAGUAACUGACAUCGAGAACUUCAAGAAAGCAUAAAUUACAAAUGCUUUCUGGAAGAGUCACAAGUUUUUUGCAGCCCUCCAGAUUCAAAACUUCAAGCCUAUUCAAAUGUUCGAUUGAUGAUGGUAGCUCUUUUAUAGCCGUUUCAUUCAAGUGAAGCUCCCUUAAGUUUUCCAUAUUCUCCAAGAUUUCUGGAAAGUACUGUAAUUGUGAACAGUGAGAGCAAAAGAGAGAUUUUAGGGAUUUGAACUCCCAAAUGCUUGUUGGCAGACUCUCAAGGUUUUUGCACUCUCGCAAACAUAAGGUAUCAAAUUCAGAGGCAUGCUCAAUGGGUAGUAGGCUGAUUGGCUGACCCUUUAAACAAAGCUUUCGGUGUUCCACGUUCCUCUGACAUUCCAAGCAGCUAGCAUCCACAUCCUCAGUCUGUACUAUUGGGUCUUGGGAGUAUAUAGGUUGGAGCCCACACUUGAGCACCUUAAAAUGAUUGCGAGAGUCUAUAAAUACAGCAUUAAGAUGCAUGAAUCGAUUGGUGUGACAGCUCUCCAGAAUAGCAGCCUUGGGAUAGAAUAUCACCCACAUUUGUCCUGAUACACCUCCAUUAUGGUAGCAUUUACAAGUAGAGCAAAAACUGAGAUGUCGCACACACAGGGAAGAAGAUCCAUAUCCUUCACUCAAUGACAGUUGACAUUGUAACUUAGUGGAGAUUGAAGAUUCAGCUUCAAGUAAAUCAUCAUCUUCAUUUAGGACUUCGUCACCAGAUGGAUUCUCCAAUGUAUGUGCAAAAUAAUUUUCAGGUGUGUCCUCACAUUCAUAGAUUGGAGCAUAAACAGAGCAUAUAGCAAUUCCCAAGAAGUCAUCAUUUUCAUAACAAUUCUGAGGAAGGCCCAUUGUGAUAUGAUAUCCCUCUGUCUGAUUCCUUAUCCACUUGGGAAUUCCACUGCUUCCCGGAACAACAAUACAGAUUCCAUCGCUAAUGUAGUCGGAAUUAGGGAGAAAUACUCCAUUUGAACUCUUCUCGUGUUUCAAAUCCUGCACAAAUGGACAAUGUAAAUCUAGUGGGUCUGUGUCAUUAUGUGAGUUUUUAUGAGAGAGUUUGUUAUCGGUUUUUGAUAAAUUGAUUCCCAGUUUUAACUUUCUUUGAUCUAUGCUCCUGAAUCUACUUAAUAUCCCUUUUAGAUGACGGAUAAUCAAUGAACAUGAAAGUGAGUGACAAGAUUAAGUG
rnacentral:lncRNA from 1 species